GCUUUGCUUUCCCGGGGUCUGGGGCUAAUUCUUCCUCUCUUACCAUAAACUCAGCUCCUCGAGCUAAAUGCAUAAAAGGGAGCGAGAGAUUUGAACCACUAGAACAAGUAUAUUAUAUAUAGUAGGUUUAGAGAGACGAGUAAGAGGAAAAAAACAAUAAACACUACAGCUCUCUCCAGCUAAUAUAUUAGGCACCACGAGAAAAAUGUUUGCCAAGCAGUGUUCGGUGGGUUCAUUUGCUUUAUUUUUUUAUUUGGGACUGGGGUGGAGGGUGUUUUUGAGCUUUUUCUUUUUGAUGUGAUGGCUUGGGAUUUCUGGUUGUUGUAUUUUGAAGAUUUUCGGAUUUUUGCCUCUGAUUUUUGCCUUUUGCAAGUUUGUGGUGUUACGUAAAGCUUAGGAUCCGUCAUCGGUUGAUUCUUGUUUUGUGUGCGUUCUUUCUCUCCCUAUCUAAUCGCUCAAGCAUUUUAAAGAAGAUGUAUUAUUUCAAUACUGAUACUAUUGAAAGACGCUUACAUUUUUAAUCAUAUGUGACAAUCCCAACCCCCAUUUUCCCCCCUUUGGUGCAAUUUCCUUUUCCCCUUGGACUUUUACUGAAGAGAGGCUGUCCUGCACUGGAGAGAAAUGCUCCAAGAAUUUGUUUUGUUUUGGUUUGUUUCUUUCCAGGAUAGCAAGUGGUGGGUUUACUCUGUUAUUGUUGACUCUUAGGGAAUUUCUUGUUGCAAGAAACGUGUGUAUUUGGAUAUGUGUACGUGUGUGUUCUGCAGAAUUCUGUGAGCCAAAUACAUGUUUGUGUUUUGAUUUUCCUUUUUGGGUUAAUUCUUUGAUUUCUUUCUUUUUUUCUUUCUUUCUUUCUUCCUUCCUUCCCCCCCCCCCCCCGGGCUUGUUUCAAGGUCGUUGUGAAAAGUCUCUUCAGUCAGUGUUGAAGGGAUCAGCCGGAGGGAAUUCUAAAGGCCUGCCGUGCCAGUAUCACAGAUACUGCCUGUAUUUAGAACAGACUGUGCUACAACUACAACGCACCGCACGGAGCACAGUCCUCUCAGCUCUGGAGUUGAGAGGAAGAAAUAUUUCUUUCUCUUUUUCUUUCUUCCUUUGUUUUUAAAGGCAAAUGCAGUGCAGAAUUAUUUCACUGUGGGCCCUGGUUUGUUUGUUCAGAGCUUCCAGUUUCCCUAUUUAAAUGUUGGUUGGGGUUUUUUCCCCUCCUACUCAUCCCUCAAUGAGGGAGACUCUUGUUUCUUUUAUGUCUCUCUCUUAAAAGAAGGGUGUGAGGGGAAAAUAAUAUUUCAGAUUCCUCAAGAAUUAACCCAAAAUGUUUGGACCAGAAGCAGCUUUCAAAGGUCAGACUGUUCUGAGCUUUGGCUAUGAGAGUCCUUCAAGCGACUCAUUAAAUCACAGAUGAGUUCUUAAAUGUUCCACAAAAUUUCUUCACAUAUGAAUUUCUAAUAAAGAUUUUUCUCUAAACAGUAUAACUAGUGCAACCCCAAAUUUGGAUCUGUAAUGGAGAAGGGAGCAGAGCUUUAAAAGAUCGCUGGUUGUUUCCUCGGAUAUUUGGGAUUUCUUUCACUGACAGUCACAUAAGAAGUUUCAGAUAUGGCUGAGAAUGCACCCCCCCCAAACCCCCCUUCAAAAGGCUGUGUCACAGGUUUUACAACCGGGGGAAGUCCAAAGAGGCUGAUUACUUUCCACAAGGGCUGGAGCUUAGGAAAUAUGUGUAAGUGUCUGUCCCUGUGAAAUCUGAAUAUUUUAAUACUUAUUGACAGAUGGAUUACCACAGCCUCUGCAGAAAAGCCUGUGUUGUGAAGGAUUUUUGAAAAAUAUACAUAGACCUAAUCCUGUCACUGUUGUUGAAAUGAACAUUUUACCCCCAAAGAUACAUGACUUUGUCAAGUGCGGAUUCAUGCUGCCAGAAGACAGAAUGUCUGUUUUUUCUUUUCUUUUCUUUUCUUUUUUAUGAGUCCCCUUCUUUCUUGUUUUAGAGAGUUUUAAAUGGAUCCCACUGAUUUCAAAAUGAUACCCCAAUUUUGCUGAAACGAUUUUCUUUGUGUAUUUAUAUAUCUGAUUUCUAUUUUUUAUAAGCUGUAAACACUUUCGGGUUUCUCAGAUGCAAGUAUAUAUGGCUUAGAAUGUGAAGUAUAUGGCUCUUCUGUAUUAAUUGGCCCUAUAACAGGAUUAUUUUUGUGAUUUGGGGGGGGGGUGGUCACUUUUCUUGUCAAAAUUGUGUCUGCCUCAUGCACUGUCCUAUGCCCCAGUCUUAAACACACAGCUUGUCCCUCCUGUGUUUCUUUUGCCACUCCACUCUUAGCCCCAUGGGGGCGCUGCAGAGCAAAGGGAAAUCUGUUCCCUCAGGCUGUGGAACCAGCCAGAGUGGGGGCUGGGAAGGAAUUCACCCUUCUCCUACCUUGGCCCUCUUCAGUUUUCUGCAGGGAGCCUGAGGAGGGAGAACCCACCAAGCCUGAUUUAUAGAUAAUUAACCCCAUCACCAGGGACCUCAAACCUCCUCAGCACAUUAUUUCUGGAACCAAGUGCCAGAGUCCCACAUUUUUUUUUCUUUCUUUCUUUCUUUUCUUUCUUUCUUUCUUUCUUUCUUUCUUUCUUUCUUUCUUUCUUUCUUUCUUUCUUUCUUUCUUUCUUUUUUUCUUGCCAAAUCAAUGUGUUUACAUUGAAAUAAAUUGAAUAGAACAGAAAGAGACCCAUUGAAGAGAGAAAGCCUGAGUGAGCGCACUGGAGAAAGUGAGAGAAAGGAUUGUUGAAAAUAUUCUAAAGAUAGACACUUACUUUUAGGUGAAUCUGUUUCUCUCAAAUGAAUGGUGACGAUAAUCGUGCACUCACAAGCUCUUCAAUUCCUAGGAAAGUAACUUUAUCAAAUGUUAUGCCAAUUUAAUGUCAUCUUGAAUGUCCUUCCUUCUCUCUUUCUUGAUCUCUCCCCCCAUGGGGUCCCAGUUGGCAUCACUUCAUGGGCCUCCCUCACCCUAGCAGUGCUAUGUUAUAGUAGUAAAGAAAUGAUUGACUUGAAUAUUUUCAAAUUCUAUUUAAUCAUGCUUAAGAAGCCUUAAAGAGUGAUUGGGGUCUCAUGAAUGUUCCUAUAGAUUUGGGGACACUAUAUAUCAACUAAUACCAUGAUUAAACGGUUAAUGGUUAUUAAUACUCAGAAAAUAGGACUAGACCAGCUUCCUUGCCCCAUGGACUGAGCAUAGGAAUAGGUCCCUGAUCACAGCUGCUGUGUAAAUAUAAGCUUUAUUACAAAAUAAAAUAGCCUGGUCCUAAUAUUACAUCUAUUUAAGGAAAGGAACAUAUUUCACAUCCAGUUCCCCUCACAAAACCUCCCUCGCAAUUCAAUCAUAGCUGAAAAGGAACCCAGCCUUGAAAUAAACUGUCCUGUCCUCUUUCUAAGGGGGCUUAAAAUGGGAAGUGGGUGUCACCUGUCAGGAACUUCUGAAAUCCUAGUAGGUCUCUAAGGAUUAUAGAUUUUUGAACUGGAAGGGACCUCCUGAUCAAUCACUCCUCCAGGCUUCCUUCUUUGCAGAGGGUAGGCUGGCUCCUCACAAGAGGUACCUGUGAUUCUGGCAACAACUGAAAAUGGGUCUGUGUGGUUUGAUGGUCCUGUGUCAUUUUAGAAAAUCAGGUUGACCUGAUGACCUGGGUUUGAAGGUGGGUAUCUGGUUUUUUUGCAGAAUUGAGGAAAGCAAGUCUACAUUGGGUCCUGUGAAAACUGGAAACUGGUUCUCAGAACCAACUCCAGGUAAUAAGCAUGGGAAUCUGGAUGGUCAUCUGGGUUUGUUUAUGUGUAUAGCCUACAGUGCGAUACUUAAAGGGUAUCGGAAAUUUUAUCUGACUUGUUAACUUUCACCUGUUUAUUUCGAAUCCUUCAUUUAAAACUUUUGUAAACAAGCUCCAUAUAGUAUCCUUGGACAAAGAAAGGAGUUUCUUGGUGUUUUAAAGAAAUACAGAGGCCUUAGGUUAUGUAGCUCAAUGGUAGAACUCUUGUGUAGCAUGCUCAAGGACCUGGAUUCCAUUACCAGCACCACCAAAAAAAUAAAUAAAAAUGAAAAAUAAAUUGAGCAGAAAGUUUUGAGACAUAAACAAACAAACAAACAAACAACAACAAAGUAGAGGAUGAUUUCCAGCCACUACCUUCUGAAAAGGAAGCGUCAACACGUAGUUUUGCCCCACUUGCUGCUGCCUGCUUUGGGGCUUUUUAUUAUUCUGUUUUCCCCCCUUUAGCAAACCUUUUCAGCCUGGCUCUGAGCUUUCCCCCAAACACUGAUUUUUCCACACUUUUUCUCACGUAUUUAAAAUGGAAAUAAAUAUCUGGAGCUUAAAAUAAAGAAGUGAUGGAGGUGGGGGCACAUGAUCAUUUGUUUAUUGCAUUCGAUCACUGUUUUGAAUAACAGGGUUUUCACUUCCUAUGAAACCUUAGCGUGAGGGAAUGCAGCAGCUGGACUCAGAGGGAUGAGGAGAGGAAGGCACUUGAGUGUUUGUAAACUCUGGGCGGCCCGCCCUCCUGCCCUGCCCGCCCUACCCUGCUGCUGUACUUAGCUGUCUCUACUACCUAAGGCUAGAAGUGGAAAAACUUGAUUUGCGUGUUGUGCCUGCAAUUUUUUUUCCUCUCUCUCUCUCUCUCUCUCUCUCUCUCUGUCUCCACACACACACACACACACACACACACACACACACCGCCCUCUGUACACCUGACCAUGCACAAGCCUAUCUGCAGCAGCUCCAUGGCAGGGAAAGCUGGGGAGCGGAAGAAUGUGCGGAGGGAGGGCGGCUCGGUACUUUUCCAUUCACAUCUCCACAGUGGCUUUUCUUGUUUAUUUCAACCUCCACCCGCAGGAACCUUUCAGCUGCCUGAAAUUCGAGUCAUUAAACUGUUCCCUUAGGUCAGAGUAUAGAGGCUCGGUGCAUGUUUCCAACAUGUCAGUGUCUAUGUAACCUGUAUACGUACACACACACACACACACACACAAACCUAACUCUGCGGGUGCACAGAGGGAGAAGGAAAAAACUGGACUUAUUGCCAGAAAAACCUUGGUUUCUAAUUACAGCUCUGCCUGGAACUUUAUAUGGGAAAUUGAGUAAAGCCACUACUGAAGACUCAGUUUCCUCAGGUGUGUGAAGCAAUAACCCAGAUGAUUUGUGGGGUGCUGGGUGUGCGCAGAGUUCCUAACCUUUACAUUUACAUAGACUUUUACAUAAUUUUAGGAUGGGGGUGAGAAGGAGCUGUGUGUACAUGUGUACAGGGGGUGGAGCAAAGGAUUAAAAUGUGAACUUGUAAGUAAAGAAGGCAGUCGCAGAAACCUCACCUCUAUCAAUUUUUAACCAAUUGUAGACCAAAGUCUGGGAUUAUGAUGAAUGAGUCCAAAAGCCGAUUGAAGAUUUUAAACAUUAAGAGUUAGAGGAGGUAGGUACUAAGACCUUGGACCUUUGAUCUCCAGCAUUGGUAAUCAGAAGUGACAGUUCUCAAGUGCCUUUUCUGCCCUAUAUGUAUAUAUUUUUAUUUCCCCCUUCUGUUUGUUUUUGGAAACUGUCCCAGUCAGUGAUAGAAGGAGAUGACACUUGUAAAGGGGAUAGUCUUUAAGCCACUGGGUUCCAUGUGAGUGUUGAAAAUAUUUCAUAGCAUUAGAAGGAGGGGCAGAAGGAAGAAGAGGGGAAAGAAGGAUCUAGAGAGAGAUUCCUGGUAAGAAACUAAGAGGUGGUUCAGCCAUCUCUGCAUUAAAAGUAAUUAUUUGAAGUCAGAGGAAACAACAUAUGAAGAGUUUGCCCUUUAAACAAAGAGAGAGGAGGAGACUCCACCUACCAGACCAAACUUGAAAGCAAUAAAAGAACACUUUCUAUCAAUAUUUCCUAUACAUUUUCAUUCAAUAUUCUUCAAAAGAAAGGUCUAAAGUUUCUCAAGCAUAAUUAUCCAAUGCCGCAGCAUCCUCAGGAAAUAAUAAAGUGGCUCCUAUUUAUCAGUAACGACCCUCUACUGUCCCUCCUCCCUUAGCAUAUUUAAAUUCUCUAGUAUAUUGGAACUAAGCACAGUCAGGGUUGAAACCUAUUUCUUUCAUUCAUUGUGAAACUGUUGAGAGUUAUGCAAGAACUGGAAGAGUCUUUAGUAUUAUCCAACCCACUGCUACUGAUUUUAUAUAAUUGGAAAUUGAGGCCCAGACAGAAUUUGCCACAUACCCUGUCACCAACAGAGCUAGAUCCAGUACUUUAAAUGCCUGGGUUCUAAAUCCUCUCUGCUUUUCCCAUGGUUUACUAGUGGGCAGUCUUCAAAAGAGCCAUUUGCUGUGGAUUCACAUUUGUGGAAGGCCUCAAAUUAAGAGUUUCGACAAUAUCUUCACUGGGUUUAUACAGCAAUGUUAGUGGCACAUGAUUGAAAGAAGACCAUCAUACUCAAGUUUUAUGUGAAUUCCAGUGCAAGACCAGAGGGUCCUAGGUUAAUGUGAUAUAAUAUGGUCGAUAAAUAUAUAAUUGUCCUAUGAAUAAUCUCACUAUAAAGGUAAGAUUUAAAGUAUAUUUGGCCUAGAAACAAUGACAAGCAGAAAGUGUGCCUAGAGCUCGGAUCUUGGCUUCUAAUGUCAUUCUCUAGUGACAACAAUCAGGGCUCCUUAGAGAGAUGGCUGAGUCUAGGACUGGGGCAGAAGGGAUACAAAAUGAGAAUGGAAUAUCUUGUAGCACCAUGAAGUAAGGAAUUGCUUAAAACAAAAUGUUUAUAGGAGACAUUUCAAGGACACACAGGAACUUGAACAAUUUUCAAUAGCUAAAGCUGGAAUAAUUUGAGAAAAAAAAAUAUGUUGGCUUAUAACCCAAACUAGUGAAACAAACAAACAAACAAAGAAAAAAUACACACACGAAAAAAACACAAGUCUGUACUAAUAUAAAUAAAUCAUUGAAUAAAUUAAUAAAUGAGAGAGAAGAAACAAGUAUUCUAUGCAGAAGAAUUCCAAGUAAUUUAUGUAGAUAAUUUGCCAUCAAAAAGGGGAAGCAUAAAUCCCUACUCUUUUUUUUUUUUUGGUGGUGGUUUACUGGGGAUUGAACCCAGGAGCUUUCUACUUCUGAACUAUGUCCCCCAGCAACUGCCCCCACUUUUUAAGUUUUUAUAUUUUCAAACAGCAUCUUACCAUGUUGCCCAGGCUGGCCUCAAACUUGUGAUCCUCCUGCUUCAGCAUUCUGAGUCACUGGGAUUAUAAGCAUGUGCCCAAAAAUAUCUACACUCCAAGUGUGAGCCGCAUCUAAUACCUUCUUUCCAAAGAGUACAGUAUGGAAAGACAAUGAGGAGAGAAUAACUUAAUAGGGAGAAUUCUGACAAAUCCCAUCUCAGCCAGGCAAUCAAGGUCAACAUCAACAAUAAUAAUUUUAUGUACCCUCUAUGUGAUAUAAUGUAGUUGUCUUCCCAUAAUCCUUAUAUAAUCGUAAGAAAAAACAUCAGACAAGUCUAGUAAAGGGAGACCCUACAAUACUCUUGACCAGCAAUUCUCAAAACCAUCAAGGUCUUCAGAAACAAAGUCUGAGGAACUGUCACAGUCUACAAUAACCUAAGGAGAUAUGACAGCUUCAUGUAACGUAGUAUCCUGGGUGGGAUCACAGAAUAGGAACAGACAUAAAGUCAACCUAAAUAGAACUGAAUCAGUGAUGAACUUAUUAAUGAUAAUGUAUCAAUGUUGAUUCAUUAAUACAAAUGCACUAUACUAAUUUAAGAUGGUAAUAAUACAAGAAAUGGGUACAGGGUUAUUUUCUGUACCAUCUUCUCAAUUCUUCUGUUAAUCUAAAACUGUUCUUAAAAAUAAAGUCUGUUAGCUGGAAAAAUAUAUACCUACAUUUUUGGGGAUUUUUCUUUUCAUUUUUUCUUUUUCUUUUUUUUUUUUUUAAAGCCAGAAAACUCUAAAAAGUGACCUAGGCUUUUUUUUUUUCUCUCUUUUUUGUAAGGGAGAACCAGGGAUUGAACCCACAGCUGCUUUAUCUCUGAGCUACAAAUCUCAGCCCUUUUUCCUAUAUUAUUAGAGAGAGUCUCACCGAAUUGCUUAGGGCCUUGCUAAAUUUCUGAGGCUGGCUUUGAACUUGUGAUCCUCCUACCUCAGCUUCCUGAGCCACUGGGAUUACAGGUAUGCACCACCACAUCUAGCUUGAUCUAGCCCCCUCUUAAAAUUUGAAUAGUCCUGCUUCCCACUCAAUCAUUUUCAUAGAAUACAGUCAGGGAAAUGGGAGACCUUACUUGAAUAAUAUUUUUGUUUUGUUAAAUUGGAAGCACUUUAGUUUCUGAAUGCCACCAUCUGGAUAACACUAGGGAGGCACCAAAGGCCAAAUGUCAUUAUGAGAGUAGAUUAAUUAAGCCACCUCUUUGAUUCACAUAUUCAACCUUUCUCUGUGUUAAGCCUCCAUGGAAACAAGGAUCUCUUUGCCACCAGUCCAGAGAGACAUAUAGAACUAGAGGAUUCUUUGUUGAGGCUAUAGGAGUCCCAAACUCUUCCCAGAGUGUCUGCUAUUUCAUUACAUAACUCUAGUAGAAUUGUGGAUUUCAUCAGACUUGAAACUCCGGAUGUUUACAGAAGAAACAUGGACCAGAACCCAAAACUCUAUGAAGAUUUGCAUCUGAUCUCAUAGACUAAAUUCUGAAAGCCUCUAUCCUCAUCAUUCACUUCACCAGUUCUACAGUUGACAAAGGUCCAGGAAAGAAUUGAUUUGCAAAGACCACUUGGAAAAUUAAUGGUAGAGUUGAUUCCCAUCAAGUCCACCCUGAAUCAUUUUGCUGCAGCAUCUGAGGACUGCUAUUAUAUUGAUAGACAUUAUGAUUUCAAAAGUGCUUCAUUAAUUUCUAACCAAUUGUCAGUUAAUGAUUGCUUCUAGUUCUAAUGCUACACUUGAGUUUUAAAUGUCUCUUUGUUUCUUCCCUUCAGCUUUCCCCACCUCUACCAGCAUCUUUGCCAAAGUAUUUAUGAGAUUUUUGAACCAAUACUUAUAUUCACUAUGGAAGGUGACAUUUAAAUAACUGUUGGUGAAAUGCAGGGAGAUUAUUCCUCCUGUGUCAAUUAAGAUGACUUUUUCAGAGUACUGUUUGAUUACAUGUACAAAGAAUCAUAAGAUGGUUGCUGGGUCAUGCCCUUUGACCCAGUAAUUCCAUUUCUAGAAAUCUAUCCUCAAGGCAUAAUUCAACAUGCAAGGGGGAAAAAAUAACUUUGGGUGAAUAGAUGCAUCCUAGCAUUUAUCUAAUAGUAAAAAUUCUAAGAGCCUACAUGUGCCAUCAUUAGUAGGUUGGGAGAAAGGGUGUUGGCUAAAGAAUGCUUAAAUAAAUUACAAUAUAACUAAUUCUGAAAAUUAAAGCUGAAAAAUACAUAUGGUAACAUGAAAGUGAAAAGAAGUAGGAUGUGUGUGGGUGUGUGUACCUAUAUACACACAUAUAUACCUGUUAUAGGUAUAUAUAUAUAUAUAUAUAUAUAUAUAUAUAUAUAUAUAUAUAUAUAUGAUUAGUAUAUUCACAACUAUAUUUAAAAAUAUUUUUCAUAGAAAAUUGACUAGAUAUAAAUGAGUGCAUAAUUAACAAAAACAAUUACAGUAAUUAUCUUGGGAUAGUAGAAUUUAUUGGGUGCUUGUUUUUUCUACUUUAAUCUUUUUUGCAUCUUCCAAAAUGUUUUUCAUCUGUCUCAUAAGCACACACUCAGAAUCUGAAAAACCCUAAGGGAUCGCUUUCAAGCACAUACAAUUGGCCCUUAAUUCAGAAUUUCGAAUAUUUGACUUAAUGUUGGAACCACCCACAUCUGUAGGGCCCACAGUAAAAGUGAGAGCUGCCCACACUAUCAUGGAGAGCAUCUUUCACUCUGGGAGCCACUUGUCUCCAGAGCAACAAAAUAGACCCUUUCUGUGCAUUGACCGUAAUGAGAUGGAGGAGAAUCUGCAGGUCUUUGAUCUGUCUCCCACCCACUUGGUGGUGUGAUUAUCUUGUUUGUUGGUGUUUCAUGGCAUUUGCAAAUGUCAGAGGGUUUCCUGGUUACUAUGCUGUCUCUAUGAGGCCACCCAAGAGCCUUCCUAGUAGGUAGAACUUCUUUGGGAUCCUCCUGGGGUAACAGGUGACUUAUUUUGUUUUUAAAUUUUAUUUUAUAACAUGUUUGGCUAGUGAAUGCUGAGGGAAAAGGUUUAAAAUAAACUCAGUGUUUUAUCAUCAGACAGUCACAAAGCCGUUAAGAACUUUGUCACGAGUACACCAUUAUUUGGGUCACUGGUUCUCAAAUAAGGGCAUGGAGCUAGACAUCAGAAUGUAGAAGGGUGAGGGCAAGGAUCAGGAUGCUAGUAAACCUGUCCUUAAAACACUGAUGUGAUUCUUCAUUCUUGGCUCAUUCUAUGCACUCAUGCAUUUCUCACUCAAUCAUAUACUUUAUUAACUGUCUCUUUUAGGUAGACACUGUGCUAGACACUAGGGAAACAAACAGGAAUAAAACAUGGGACUCUGAUCCCAGGGGGCACACCAGGGACUAAGAAAAUAGAGAUCCAGAAAGAUUAUGAAGCUUGCUUUAGGUUAUGUAACAGAUAGUGCCUGAGCCAGAAUUAUUCCCCAAAUGUCCUGAUUCUGAACCCAGUAAAGAACUCCAGGGCUUCUUCUCAGAGGCUUGUCCCUGACCCUACACCCACAUCAGUGUGAGGCACUGAAUCCCUGCUAGGGCAGGUUCAGCCUCUUUGAGUGUUUGAUUAGAGCAGAGUAUAACCCCGCCACCUCAAUGUGCCAUGCAGGAAAGCCAAUGCCCUAUGGUAGAAGAUCAACAAAGACUAGUGCACACAUAAGCUCAGCUUUCUGUACCCUCAGUACAAUGUAGACUCAGCUUUCAGGCCAGAGCUUCAUAGCUAAGAUCAUCCAUUCUUCAAGUGAGACUAGAAUCCUGUCUUGGACUCCAAGUCUAGGUUCCUGCUUAACUCCUGUCAGUCCUCUUCUUGGAGAGCCCGGAUCCUGAGUUUUAUAUCCUCUUGCGUUCAAUUCCUGUCAGGUUCUACCAUGAUCAGAUAGAUUACCCUAAAAUCACACACAACCUCAAGCAACAGCCACAACCUAAACUCUAGACCCUAGCAGAAACUAGGCUCCUCUGAGAUUCCCACUCAACCAAAACCAAGUUCACCACAGUCCAUGGGCAUCUCAGAUCUCUGGGUCAUAAACACAUAGGUAAAGUCUCAGAUGCCAGUCUUGCAUCCAGACUGCUCUCCAUAGUACCCUAGUCAUCAAGGCCCAAACUGCCUCAAGAUAGAUUGGGCUCUUCUGCCAGGAGUUGUAACUAUUUUCAGUGGCCAGGAAAGGACAUUGGAUAUUGUGUUAGUCAGCUUUCUAUUCCUAUAACAAACACCAGAGAUAAUUAACAUAUAAAAACAAAAGGCUGAUUUUGGCUCACAGUUUUAGAGUUUUCAGUCCUUGAUGAAUUGGCUCAGUUGAUUUGGGACUGUGGUAAGGCAGCACAUCAAGUAAGAAGCAUGUGGUAGAGCAAGAAUACCAUUCAUUUUAUGUCUGGGAAGCCAAAAACAAGAGGAAGAGGAAGGGACUGGGGUCCUCCUAUCUCCUCUGACUUCUCUCUAACUUCUUUCCAGUCUCAUGUACUACAAUUUUCUACACCAGACCCCUGGUAAUUCCCCAGGGACUCAUGCACUUUCCUCCAUUCUCAUCCAUGCCUUGGCCUCUGCCUUUCCCUGAUAAGCCAUAAUAAGCUCGAGGACAGGGGUAGUCACUUUUGUUUUCUUAGAACUGUGUCCAACAAAUGAUGCUUACUUAGAAAAUUUUGACUAAAUUAAAGUAGGUAGAACUGAAAGAGAAUUCUAUGUGAAAUCUGAGGAUCUGGGUUCCAGUUAAAGCUCCAGAGCUGACUAAGUUCUGUGGGUCUCAGUUUCUUGUUCUCUAAAAUGGUAAUUUCUGUUAAGGGUACUCACAGGAUUCUCCUGAAAAUAUCAAGUACAAUGGAGGAGAAAGUGCUUUGAAAAUUAUAAUGCACAGUUCAAAGUGGUUGUUGAAUGAUUGAAGGGAUCAUCAAAUGAGUGAACUAUCACAGUUAUGUAAAGUCAUCAGGUUAUUCAAUAACAAAUUCUGAGGCUCAGAUUAUAUCUGGGAACAAUGUAUUUGAAGUACCCUGACUUGAUUUUGUAACCAUCCUUAAAUGUGAUUAUUUCACUUCCCCAUAUAUUUUAACCCUGUAAGCACUAGAAGACAUAGGUUGCUGCUAAGGAUUCAUAGUGAUCCAAAAAGAACAAAAAAGAUCACCAGAAAGUCUUUUUGUUCUUGAAAUGCAGAAUUGGAAAUGAACCAUUUUCCAGUAGUGGGAACUGAAAUCCAGUGUUAGAUCCUCCUUUUUUGUACCUUCUUCCUCUUUCUUCCUCAUCUUUCUACCUUAACUCCUUCCGGCCCUCUCCUGCACCCCAAUGGAAAAAGAAUUAGUUGUUUUGUGCUAACUUUAGUCUUAGAAAAAGGUACAAGCAAAAUCCAAAUUUAUCAGAUCUAUUUUCUUGGAUGAACAUGAUGGCUACUUAUAAAAUUUUAAAGACAUUUGUUAGGGGUUAAAAAGAUAAAUAUCUCAAAAGCCCAUCUCAUAUUUUCUAUAGUCGAUAACAAUAGCUAACAAAUGGAACAGAAAAUCCAGUGGACUCAAGAGAAAUAAGUCACAACAGUCUCCAAAGGGGCUGGGUUGGUAGUGUUCAGGGGCAUGAGAACUCUUAGAAUUGGUAGCACCAAGGUUUUGCCAGCACCAAGCCCAUGCUCAAUAGCUCAUUUAUUUUUGGAUCCCUAGAGGUGGGAGGGAGAAAAUUACUGGUGUAUAUUGCUUCAAAACUGCAAUCUUGAAGACACUUCAAAGUGAGUGAGCUGGGAUAAACCCAGGAAUCCUGAACAAUGCCUACCCUGAGCAAAGACAGCCACCUCCCUUUAUGAUUUUUUUUUUCCUUUCCCCUCAUUCUGUUCCAAACACCUCUCACCCAACCAUACUGUGGAAGCCACAUUCCUGCACAAAGCUAAAUUUAUCUGGGGGGAGCAAAACACAAGAAAUAUUCUAUCGAGAUACUUUCCUUCUCAAUUCUGAAAACCAGGGAUGUUCACUAAGAGAAUAGAGGAGUGCUGUUAAGAUUCUAAGGGCUUAGAACUGGAAAAGGUGGAGAAACAGGACCCAUUCAGCUAUAUUGCCUUAUUUUAUCACCCAUUUGGUUGUGCUUUUUCAGCCUGAAAUAAGCAUAUGCUCGUAUUCUCAGGCCUUACUAAUAGGCAGCCACAAAACAUAUAAACUUAACUACCAAUUACAAAUUGAGCACUUGCUGUGUGCUAAACUCGGGGCUAGACUUUGCAUUACAAAGAAUGAUACAGAGCCAUUCCUAAAGGUGCCUGCUGCCUAGAUCAGCAGAGAAGCAUUACACAAAUAAAUCAUCAGAUGUAUUUUCUAUCAUAAAGUAUGAUAACUUAGAUAUGGGCAAUAAGAAAGCUGCUAUGAAACUUGGGAAGAACAUAAUUGACCAGGAGAAAGAAACUUUCUGCUGAGAUUUAAAGAGGAAGAUGGGUUAUCCAGGCCAAGAAUGAGGGGACAAAUGUACCAUGCAGGGGCAACAGAAGUCAAAACAUUUAAGUGAGUCAAACUGGAAUGUUCAGAGACUGGAAAGAGGCUAACAUGGUAGAAUAGAACAUGAAGUUAGGGGAGAAUCAGGAGCUAGAUCAUAAGUCUUCAUAGACCAUGGCCAGGAGUGUAUACUUUAUUCUGAGUGCAUCAAGAAAACAUUUAAGGGUUUUUUUGGCAAGUGGUGACUGGAUAGAAUUUAUUUUUUAAGGAAACCAUCCUACCUAUUGUGUGGAAGAAAGGGGCAAUGGAAGAUGCUUUAUGAGGCUAUUGUAUGAGUUCUGGUGAGAGAUGAAGAAGUCCCUUGGACUAGGGAAAUGGUGAAAUAGGCACUGACAUGUAGAAAGAUUUGAGAUAUCCUUUGAAUUUAAAACUAAUGGGCUUUAACAAUAGAUCAGAUUGAGAAGGUGUGGUAGAGAAGGAGAGUGAGGUUUCAAGAAUGAAUUCCAUGGCUGGGGUUGUGGCUCAGUGGUACAGUGCUCACCUAGCAUGUACAAGGCACUGGGUUCGGUCCUCAGUACCACAUAAAUGUAAAAUAAAGAUAUUGGGUCCACAUAAAACUUAAGAAUAAAUAUUCUUUUUAAAAAAAGAAUGAAUUCCAAGCUCCUUGGUUGGAGAGCUGGAUGGAUGUAUUUCCAUUUACCAAGUUAGAAACAGGGCAAAAGACAACCUCUGGAGAGGGACAGCCGAUCACACAUCAGUUUCAACAUGGUAUGUUUGAGAUAUCUCAGGGGAAGAUGGCAAUAUAGACAAUAGGAAAUUCAAGACCUGAAUUCAAAAAAAAAAAAAAAGAGAUGUCAGUUUGGAGAUAAAAAUUGGGGAUUCAUCAAAUAGAGACCGUAUUUGAAUACAGGAGAAAGAAUUGAUUUUUGUAUCAGACCAGCAUUUAAAAAAAAAUAGCAAAGGUGUAAUUGUCUUUAGAAAUACCCAACUUCAAACUCAUUUCUCAAUUUAUAGCCAAACUGGAAACUGAAGAAGUGAAAUCACUGUAGGAAACGGGACUGAUGAGAGAGGACAUCCUCUUCUCCUGGGUCAGAGGUUUUUUUCAUUUCACAGUAUAUUUUCAACAUUUGACACCAACACAGUUGGCUGAUACAGCCCCCUGUAUCAGAUAUAAUUCUACAGAUGUCACUCAUGGUUUCACACCACCCCCACAUUUUAUAAUCUGCUUUGUGAGAAUCACCACACUCUCAUAACUAACUUGUUCCCUGCUUCCUUCAGUCAACUUGGAACUUUCUCCCCUGGUUCCUUAUGAAUAUACCUGGACAAUUUAAUGUCAAGAAGGUCUGAAUUUUAGAGUCAUCACUGAGCUUCUGAAGACACAUUUCCGCAUAGCUCCCUAUGACUCAGCUUAGCACUCAGUUCCUUUAUACUUAUUUAGCAAUUGGACUAUCUUUCUCUUGAAUGUGAGCACCUGAAGAUGGAGAGCUAUCUUGUUCUUCUCCUUGAUAUGUUAAUCUAGCCCUGCACCUAAGAUAAGUAACCUAACCAUUUUAUACGUCAUAUCGGUCUUGAAUGAGAGGUGACCAAUUCUUCCAUUUUUCAAAUUUUUGCUGAGCACAUGCUAUAUGUCAGGUACACUGCAAAAGGUUGUACUUUUGUUCAGUCCUUAAAAUAUUGUUAUGAAUAGAGGGUAUGAUUAGCUACUGUCAAAAAUGUGCUGGUUUAUUCAUGAUUAGACAUUUACAUACCUUCCAUUUAAUUCAACACACAUUUAAUGUGCACUGACCAUGUCUACAGAAAUAGAAGAGCAAGGCUCUGUCCCUUAGCACUCCAAGGCUGGUGCAGCAGGGAGUUAUUCACACACACACACACAAGCCACAGCCAGGGCUGUCUCUGGGCCAAUAUGCUUAAGUUGAAUUUGAGAAUGUGAUUUCUUUAGACUGAUAGAUCUAGGGAAGUUUCUGAAAGAUAUGGAAUUAAACAUAAUAACAAAAUAAUGUGAAACAACAUAUUUAAAACAAUAGCCAUCAAAACAACAAGCCUACCUUUGAAAUUAUGAGAGAAACCCUUUUAUAUAGUUCCUAGGAUGCACUGUUAUAAGAACUUUAUACUUGUUAAUUUAUUUAAUCAUUACAACAAUCUUAAACAUGGGUGGUGUUGUUAUUCCCACUUUACAGACUGGAAACUGAAGAACAGAAAGGUUAAGUAGCUUACCUAAGGUCCAAACAGCUUGAGACAGAGCUGGGAUUUGAAUUCUAGCAACCUAAUAAAGUCUGUGCUCUUAGCCUUUGUGCUCUACAGCCUUGGGAAUUAAAGAACUUCAACAAACAGGGUAAGGAGACAGAGUGUGGGAAGAAGGCACUUCAGACAAAAAGCAGAGCAGAGACAAUGGCAUAGAGUUUGGGCAUAUACCUAAUAAUGCUUGAUUUUUUUUUUUUUUUUUUUUGUGACCAGAAUGGAGAAAGCACUGGAGUAUUUCUCUGUGGAGCAAAGGUGUUUCACUGACUUGGUUUAACUUCCUGCAAAUGCCUUUUCCUGCACCAUAGUUCUGACAACUAAAUGUAUUCUUUGCCCACUACUCUAAGCCCUGUGCUAUCCUCUUCAUAUGUAUUCUACUUCCAUCAUAGCCCUGAGCCUGAGAGGUAGGUGGUAUUACAUUUCAAAAGAGGAAAUGGUUCAGUUCUGCCUCUAGUUGACUUUUUUUUUUUUUUUUUUUAGAAUUCUAGUGAUUCCCUAGGAAGCAUGUUCGUUUUCAGUUUCAUACUUUGCAGACUCUUCGUCCCUAGGAACCCUAGAGACGGAGUAUCACUCCUGUAUUAACACAUGCAGCUUCUCUGAGAAUGGAAAAUCCCAAUUAAUAUCUUUGCCAAAAUCUUCCAGUCACUCCUGUAUUUGGCCAACCUUUCUUGUGUGUGAAAGUCAACAUUUAAAUAUGAAACCUGGCUUCAGUUUCCAAAAAUUUAAUUGCAUUAUUAGGAAGUAGUUGAAACUGGGCUUUGUGAAUCUAUGUGGGAAGGCUAGGAGUAAGGAUGGCCAGCAGUUUAGGGAAACUGUUUAAAUACUGGCUGCAACCUUGGGUCACCCUGGUGGCAGCACCGUGUCCAGGUCAAGGAGUACCACACAUGUAGGGCACGCUCCUUGGCCCUGUAAGGGGACUAUAAAUCAGGGUCUAAAGAAAGGACUGCCUUUCUCAUGGAUCCCCUGGCAAGUAUGUCAAAUACUAAAGAACUGCGAUCAAGUUAAAGGCUGGAUAAACAGUCAUAGUCAGUCCUUCAGCCUCCAGCAGCAAGGGCUGGAUUCCCAAGCAUGGGCUUUGUUUAUGCAUGUUCUGUCUGGGAACCAGGUUCGGAAGACUCUGUGUUCAGUCCUGUUGUCUUCCAGAUUUGAUUAGGGGCUCUUAGGAGAGAUCUGACCUCAGCUUGGAAUGGCAACAUUGAAGAGACAACGAAAAAGAAAGAUAAGAUAACUAAAGCUUUUAGUGCAAUAGGAGGGAAAAUGGAUGGAGUGAAUAUUGGAAAGUUUUCAUGGAAUUUUCAAGGUCAGGGGUAUAAUGAAGGACCUUGUUCUUGAAUGCUGUUGUCAAGCCUUCCAAAAGAGUCUUCCUUGCAUGCUAGUCACCAAACUAGAGGUAGGGGAUUAUUUCUUCCUAUGCUUCUUACCUUGGUUUACUCAUUUGUAAAAUUUGCAGGUAUCCUUUUAAGGAUUAAAAAUAGUAAAGCACAGUAAAUGGCCUAUAAACAUAAAUUUGUAGAGAGCACACUUUUUAAUCUACUACUCAGCUAUGCCAACUUUUAGGUAAAAAGUAAGACUAGACAGUCUCAUUUGAUGGAAGCUUCAAGAUCAUCUGGUCCAACACCUGAGUACGGUGGAUGAGGAGUCUGAGGAGCAGCAGUGUUACAUGCCUUCUCCAAGGUGCUCCCACUGCCCAAGUUGCCCAGGAUGUUAGAGCCUUUACAACAUAGUCUCGUUUUUUUCUGACAGGAAACAAAUGAGGUAAAUAUCUGCAUUUUAUAAGGCAGGAGCCAAAGGUUCCAAAGAGCCUAUAAAAAGGUGAGAGGAGUUCAAAUUAAGGUUGAUCUAAAUCCAAAACCCAUGCUCUUGACUCUGCACCAUGUCAUCAAGUUUUCUGCCUCCUUGCAGAAACUUUUUUCUUAGGAUUUCCAAAAAGCACUUACUGAAAACAAUGGUGACCAGGGAGGGAAUGUUUUUUCUUCUUAUUUUUUUUUAAAGUCUGCCUAUGAAUUACUGUGUAACACGGCACAAUUUUGUAAUCUAAAAUGGCCAACUGUACCCGAUGACCCAGUCCUCUUUCACCCCUAACACUGCAAUUGGUGAGUCACACCAAAGGAAAAAUUGUCCUCCUUUGCCUCCAAAUCCAAGUGGUUUUAAAGAGAAAAUUCACAUAUUUAAAAUUAUCUCUAUAUGUUUCUUGUGGGUUUCUGAGGCCACUGCAUGGACACACACCUCCCACUUCCUUCUCCUAACACCCAGUAGGUGUUCUGUAAAUUUUCUGGUGUAUAAAUUUUUAAAGUUGGUACUCUGUCAGCAUCCUAUACACAGUUAUUGGGGGUUAUUUCUCUGAUAUGUGGGCUCAGUUUAUGCAUCCUUGUGUGCUGCUAUCAUCCAGCCAAAUGAACUUAAACAUUUUAAUCUACUACUCAGCUAUGCCAACCUUUUGGUAAAAAAUAAGACUAGACAGUCUGAUUUGAUGACAGUCUGAUUGUCAAACCAUACCAUUACCAUGCAUGUUUGCAUAUUAGAAAUAUAUAUAGAUAGAUAGAUAUAUGCAUAUAUUUAAGAACAUAUAUUAAGCAUUAUUGUGUGACAGGCACCCGUGAGUGGCUGUAAAAUAUGAUCAGCAAGUUAAAAUAUAGACUUGGAUUGCUAAUUAUAAAAAAAAAAAACUUAGCAUUUUUUUUAAAUAUCACUGCUUUAAGGAAAAAAAAAAUCUGAUGCUUAGAAAGACCAGAAGACAUCACUCCCAGAUAUACUAUCCUUAUCCUCUUACUGAAAAUUUAGAUCAAAAUCCUGAUUUCUUCUCAAUUGUUAUCAUGCAUGAUGAGAGAAAAUAUUCCUAGUGCAGUGGUCUAUAUUCAUAGGUAUGGAUUUACUCUGACCUUCCUUUUUUACUUUUAGAAUUAUACCUAAUAGCUCAGUUAUCUGUGUCCCCACUUUAGAUCUGUGAAUUAUUCAUUCGCCCAAAUCCAUGGCACUAAGGUAGCACUGUUGCUGCUUAAUUGUUUGCACCAAAGUCUCUGAAAAGGCAGUUUAUGGAAAGAUGUUGAGAUGAAGAUAGUUCUCUGACACCAGAUACCUAUGUGUCCUCUCUCAAGUUACCUCUCUCAGCCUGGGUCUUCUUGUCUUUAAAGAAGGAAAAACAGCUAUCUAAAUUGUAAAUAUGAACAAAAGGAAAAGAAAUAAUCUCCAGAACCUGGUAAACAAGGAAUAAACAGCACAUCUUUUGAUCCUAGCCAUGUCCUCAGUAAGGUAUAUUUUUCAGUCCCUCUUCCUGUGUCACUCCCAUAUUCAGACACCCCAUGAAGGGUUUUUUAAUUAGUUACUGAUAUGGAACCCUUCACUCCCUUCCCUUACCAUUGAGGUAGAUAUAUGAGUCUGGAUAAUUAUUUCAUCCAUAUGCUCCUGCAAUUUACUAAUCUGCACUACAAUCAUCCCACUCUUAGAAAGUGAAGCACUUUCCAUUUGUUACCUCACUUGAUUCUUACAGCAGCCCCAUGAGGAUCACAAGCCAGUGUUGUUAUCCUUCCUUGACAGAUAAGCAAGUGAGGGUUAGAGAGGUUAAGUGGCUUAUCCAGGUCACAAUUCCACAUUCAGGUGUAUCAAUCUGAGUUCCAGCCCUCAGCUUCUUGUUCUAUCAACAGCUUUGGGAUUUUUGUCACAUACUGGAUGACAGACAAUUGUAUUCUGGUCAAAAUAAAAUUAGGAAGGUAAAUGCUGAUGGAGAACAGGUCAGUGCAUCUAGCACUACCAUCUCCACUGGGCCCCACCUUGGCCUCUGGGUCAGUGACUCUUUCUCCUGAGCAUUCCCGUUUUAGCCUCUCAGUUUGUCCAGAUCCUCUCUGAGGCUCAGAGCAUAGCUCAAAUCCAGGCUUCUCCAUGAGGCUUCUGGCCAACCACUUGACCCAUUUCUGCAAUUAAUAUUUACUAAAUGACUGAUAUUGUGCUCCAUUGCUCUUGUGGAGUUUCCCCCAAGCAAAGAGAAAUAGUAAUACAUAAUAAAUAAAUAAACAAAUAGUAAUAAACUCCAUAUACAUGAUAUUCUUGAUGGUAAUAAAUGCUGAAAAAGGAAAAAAAAAACAAGAAAGAAGGAUAAGGUAUAUGUGAGGGAAAAGAAGGAAUUCGAUAUAGAAUGGUUAAGAAAGUGCUCACUGAGCAGAUGACAUUUGAUUUAAGACAGAAAAGAGGUGGAGAAGAGAACUAUUUGGACAUCUGUGGUAAGAGCAUUAGACAGAGGGAACUGCAAGUGCCCAGGCCCCGAGCCAGAGCAUGCCUGGCAUGUUUGAGGAGGAGGAAGGAGGCUGCCAUGGCUGGACCAGUGAGGGGAGCAGAAUAAGGGAAGUGAGGACAGAGAGGACCUCAUUUUAUAUACUCUAUAGGGCACAGGAAGAACUUACUAUUAUUUUGCCACUGAGGGUUGGUCCAGUAUCUAAAUUUUGUUUUAGCAGAAUCCUUUGGGCUGUUGCAUUGAGAUGAGCAAGGUAGAAACACAGAGACCAUUGAGGAAGCUAUUAUAAUAAUCCUGGAAAGAGAUGAUGGUGACUUGGAUUAGGAAAUAAUGCGGGCUGCUCAACUUCUGUGUAGAUUUACAAGGAGGAAGCUAAAAUGAUUACUGGUAGGUUGGACACAAGUCAUAAAGAAACAGGAGUCCAGUACAGCUCCAAGUUCUUGGGCCUGAGCAAACAGUAACAAAUGUAGUAAGUACUAUUUACUAAGAAAGGAAAGGCUUCACGUGCAGUGGAUUUGAAAGAGUAAGGGGCAUAUCAGGAACUCCGAUUUGAAUGUACAUAUUUCAUAAGAGAAGUCUAAGUUGCAGAUAUAAAUUUAGGCGUUGGACAUAACAUUUUAUUAAAACUGUAACACUGAGUAAGAUCCCUAAGAGAGUGAACCCAGAACAAGAAAAGGCCCAGUGACUGAGCCCAAGGACUCUCCUUGCUAGAGGUUUGGGAGAGGAGGAAACACUAGUCAAAAGGAAUGAGGAGUGGCCAUGAGAAUAGGAGAAACCCUCCAUUAUGCCUUCUGGGAAAUCCUGUGGAAACUUGCAAUCCCUCAUCAAUAGUGGUUUACAUUCCUGUGACAGAAGCAGACAAGAGGCAAGUAUCUUUAGAGUGGGAGCUGUGCCCCUUCUCUGCUCUCCACAGUGCUCAGUUUCUAGGAGCCCUUCACUUAAACCUAAUUAACUUGUCAUCUUACAGCUGAAUCAUAAAAUGAUAGAGGGUAAGGGACCCAAGAAAUCAUCCUGGUUUAUCACUUUCCCGCUGUGUUCUUUGGAGUGAAGCAAAGGAGUUGUUUUUCUUUAUCAUUGGGAAACCCAUAAAGCUGUGACCCCUCCUUUCCUAGAAGGGCUAACAAAAGCAACAGUGUCCUGGGAGGCAAAGACACAACCUCACCCCUUCCAAUAAAUAUUUGGGACUUUUGUCAGACCUUAAUCACUUUGGAAAGUUCCAAGUCUUAGAUCUUGUCGAGAUCUCCACAAGGUAGAAGGGCCAAGGGAGGAACACACUGUUUUCUGAAGACUCAGCCUUCUUUCAGAUGGACCUCAGAAGAAAGAUACCAACCGCCAUGUUUCUUCCUCUUAAGAUCAUCUGAAGACCUAGAAUUCUAGACAGGCUGGUAGAGAUUGUCUAGUUCAAGCACCUCCUGGAAAAGAUGAGGGCCUCAGCCUCCAAAGGCCAAAGUAGCUCAUUUUCAAUCACAAUAUCAAGUGUCUUUCAUUCAAGGCUAAAAACCAGAUCUCAACUUGGAAAUUUUCUGCUCGGAUUCAGAACCAAGUAAUGCAUGAGCAUUUGCCACAUGCCUGGAAACAUGUCAGAUGCUUCCACUCUUGCCAUUCCUGUUCCUCACCAUAGUCCUCAUCAUAGGAUUAUUUCCUCACCUUUCAGAUGAGAGCUUUGGUCCUCAGACAGGAAAGUGGCAUAUCCAGGGUCACAUGGCUAGCACGGGAGCUCAGGCCCAUUUGACUUUAAAACUACUGCACAUCUCCUGUGAGUCCUCAGUGGGACUCGUAAGCUCACAUACUUCCACAGUAUAAGCCAUCACCCCAGGACCCUGCUCUCCAGCCAACAACAUAGGCCUCUUUAGCCUGGCAUGUUAGUGAGCGAUUUAACUUUGAGUCCAGAGUGUGGACUCUGGAACCAAACUGCCUGUGUUUGAGUCAAGAUUUUGCUGUUUAUUACCUAGUGACUUUGGCUCAAGUAAUUUCCCUAAACCCUAGGUUCCUCAUCUGCAAAUGGGAACAAGGAUAUAUGUACCCUCAGGAAGUUAGGAUUAAAUAAUAUUAAACAUGUAAAUCACUUAGCAUGAUGUCUGUCAUGUAUAGUACAUGUUCAAUAAAUGUUAAAUAUUAUAGUAAAGGGAUGAAGUUUUUUUUGUUUUUGUUUUUAAAACCCUGGAGCUAUUUUGAAAAACACUGUCCAAUGUUUCAAAAUCCUUUCCUGGAGGAAAAGUGAAGAGGCCAAUACCAAAACUCAGGCCUGAUAGGUCUAAGAUAUUCAGCAAUGCUCUAUAUCAGAAGCUCUAUUAGGAAAGCAGGACCAGAAGUGAUACGGAAUUAGGAACUUACAGGAAUUAAAUCUUAGACAACUGAUAUAAAGUCAAAGGUAUAUUGUAAGUCCCCCAAAUCCUUUGAAAUACCAACAAAGACUAUUAAUAAACAUAUACAUAUGCGUGCAUAUAUAUAUAUGUGUGUGUGUGUGUGUGUACAUCACACACACACACACACACACAUAAACACAAAACAACAGAAUGAAACUCACCAAAAUGUUCCUAAUGGACAUCUCUGAAAGAUGAGAUAGUGAGAGGUUUUAUUUUUAUUUUCAUUUACUCACCAAAAUGUUCCUAAUGGACAUCUCUGAAAGAUGAGAUAGUGAGAGGUUUUAUUUUUAUUUUCAUUUACUUUUUAAUUUUGCACAGGUCUUUAAAAAAGAAAUUAUUUGUUAAUAUUUAUUGUUCCUUUAUUUCAUACUUUAUUCCUAAUACUCCUUUUUAAAAAAAUAUUUUAUUUUUAGUUGUAGAUGGACAUGAUAUUAUUAUUAUUAUUAUUAUUAUUAUUAUUAUUAUUAUUAUUUUUAAUGUGGUGCUGAGGAUCGAACCUAGUGCCUCACAUGUGUGAGGCAGGCACUCUACCACUAAGCUUCAGCCCCGGACCCCUACUUCUUUACUUUAAAAAAACUCAAGAUAAUGUAUUGAAGGCAUUACAAUUUUAAAGUUAAUUAUGGGGAAGAGAUAAGGCUGAUGAAAUUGGAGAAUAUCAGGCCCAGAAAUGUCAAAGGCCCUGUUAUCCAACUCCUCAUUUGUUAAGUGGGGAUUCAGAUGUCCACAAAGGCAGGUCACCUACCAAGACCACAAAGAACCUGGACAGAACUUGGGACUUGGCACUCCCAUCAGAGUGUACCCACACCACACCUUCUCUCUCCAAGUUCACACUCAUGGCUGAUUUUAAUGAUUCAAAUAAUGAUCAAGAGAGGAGGAAAGGGGAGAGGCGGCCACUUAUCUCAGUUUUAUUUGGCAGGAACUGGGAAGCUUCUCUCAUAGGCAGACACUCUACAUUGAUUUGUUUUCUUCAAGACCCUGGAGUGCCCACAGCAACAUUCUGAUCACCAACCAUCAUUUCUCUUCCCAGGAUUCCAGAGGCAAUUUAGGUCUACUCUUCUAAUAGUCUAGCAUUCAAACUGUAGAGUGUGUCAGGUGACUGAGCAGGUUGGAUGAACGUACUAUCUCUUGUGACUCUCACUGGUAACAGACAGGUGCUUGUCUAAAGUUGCUCCCUGGAUCUCAACAGAAAUCUCAGAACUGGUCAUUGCUUCCAGAAAACCUUCUUACCAGUCAAGCUUACACAUAGCUGGCCACUCAGCUAAGACAAGUAACGAGCCAAGAAAUAUCAAAAAGUGUAUGGUUUUGAUAUACAGGAUUUUAUUAUGGGCAUUAGUUCCAAUAAUUGUGGGCCAGUGAAUUUUCAAAGCAGUCAGUAGGAGGAUGAAAAUGUGACCUUGAAAACACCCUAUUUUUUUCUUAGGCCUUUUAGUCGCUCUGUGGUCCAAAUAUAGAAUCUUUUAAGACUUCUAAAAGAUUAUUGCAUUGGAAGAGGCAACAAAAUAUAGAAAAACAUGCUAAGUCAGAAAAAGGAAGACUAUAUUUUGAUGCUGUCAUCUGUCAGUUAUAUGACCCUGUGCAAGGCCUUUUGCUUUCUGGCUCUGAUUUUCUCCAUGAAAUACUGGGGCAAUAUUCAUUCUUGUUUUCAAAUCCAAUUGUAUUUGGCAGUCCAUAGAGUGAAUAUAACCUCAAUGUCAUUAUUUUAGUGAUUAUAAUUCUAAUAUUAAUUCUCAAUGACAUUAGGCUUCUUCCCAGAAUGAAAUUAGUCUCCAGGUAUUCAGUGCUUAUAGUUUGAAUGGCCUGGGUGAUAAAGGUGUGAGGAACUAACUAACUAAAUAAAAGCCAUUUUUCCUGGAAAGCUCUGUUAUUGAAUCCUCCUCUUGGAGUAGAAAGUCCCAGCCACACUGUAGGGAGCAGAGCGCAGGAUCCUCUUUGAUGUCACCACUCCACCAAUGGUCAGUAUCACUUCUCUUUUUUCAUCAACUGAUCUAAAGACCCUAUGUUUGGGCUUCUCUGGUGAUCAUUCAAGUCCCCUACUUGAUCAUAUAUCACAGCCUAAGCAACCCAAAGAAAGAUACAAGAGGGUAGAAAGAGAGUUGUAUUCUUUGGAAGGAUGAUGGCUAAUAAGACUUACUUUAGUUUACAGUCAGAUAGUUUCUUUAAACAGAGAAAGUCACGGCAAACUCAGACAGGAGCAGGCAGGAGCAGAAACAUGAGCCCGGCUCUCUGACUAUGAAGGUUACCACCCGUUUGUGGUUCCUGAGAAAACACUAGAGCACCCUGCCCUGCAUUAACAAGCAUAGACCUGGCCUUUCAGGUACAAUCCUUCUAGGGAUGGGCCUCUUGUCCCUAUGCUGGGUUCAGCCUAAAUCCAGGAAAGAACUGUAAAGAUUCUGAACCCUUCUGGAUAUAUACAGAUUCAUUUGCCUGCCCACCAGUGUUGUACUGUGCUACUCCUUCAUCUGACCAGCAAAUCAACACAAAUCCAGGCUAAGUGGUAGGAAUCAGGAAAACAAAGGGGACAUAGAGUUAGGGAAGGGAACCUCUUCGGUAGCCCCUUUACCAUGCCAUUCUUUAAUUCCUGAGUCAUUCUCCACACCCAUAGUCCAACCAAGAACCAACAGCCUUACCAGAUACAGAAAGAUGCUGCAAAUACUGCCUUUUGUAUGGCUAUGGCAAUUUGACACGAUGUUCUCCCAGUUGCUUCUUACACACACCUGCGCAUCUCCUCUCAAGUCAUUGAUUUCCAGCUGGACCAAAGAAAGACCAUUCUUGUAUAAGACAAAGCCAGAGAUCAUUACCCAGUGUUGAAUCUUGAGCAGUGCAGGCAUAAUAAUACUAAUCAGUGGAUUGAUGCAGGUUCUGAUGGGAAAUACUGCAUUUUAAGGAAGUGUAACCUUUAUACUUCUGAGUUGGGCCAAGCAACAUGCCAAGAGGACUUGAUUACACUAUAGAACAAUCCAGUGAGCUGCAUUGUUUGUGCCCAGCCAUUGCACUGGGCACAAACCAAGGAGGAUGCAGGGAUUCUCAGAGGAUCCAUGGAGAAGGGAGCAUGCAGAUAAUUGUCAGGUACCACAGAAAAUACCUGUAAGGUGAUCCUGCCCUCUCCUGUGUGCCAAGCCCAGGUUUGGGCAUGUCAGUUGCCUCUACUAAACUUUUUGUUCCACAGUGUUGCCGUCUAUAUGUCAUCAAAUUGCAUUAUCUGGAACCUCAUGGCUCAGAAUCCUGGAAUAUUUGUGUCAUUAGAACUAAAAGACUCAGACCUUAUUCAGAGUUGUUUUCUCUCUCUUCAAAAAGUUGAACAACUUUUUUAAAAAAAAUCGAAAUAUAAAACCCAAAUAUUGAAAAUCUAAAUAUAAAACACUCCUAGUGUUGGCCUGGUAAGAGUAGAACCAGAGAACCAUAAAAUUGUUGGGUUCAGAAGGAAGUAGUUUAUUCCAUAUUUGAAUUUCCAACAUAACACCCCUACUGAAGUAUCCAUUCAAUUUUUUUAGAUAUUGCUAAAGCAGAGAAAUUUCUACCUCCCAAUGUGGGCCAUUCCAUGUUUGGCCAUAUUUUGAAAUUGGACAGUUUAAAUUUGGACUUUUUUUUUUUUUACUGGACCAAUUGUAGGUAAGGAUUCAUCACAAGAUGGUAUUUAUCAAUAACAAGUGGGGCUCUGUGGGGUUGGUGACUUCAGUGGAUGCAAAUAGGAUCCAUAACUAUAAUCCCAACCCAUAUGCAAAUCUUUAGUCAUACAGUAAACUGCCAGGAAUAUUUACAAAUGACAGGUGUAGGUACUGAUGAUAAAGGAUGGUGUGAAAAGACUUCUUUGGUCAUAGAGAAAGGAGCUAGAUCUAACUUGCUUUAAUUUUCAUCUUUAAAGGAUCAUGGGAAAAUCAGGCCAAUAUCACAUCUUUUUGGACAUAAAAUGGGCAGCCAACAUCUCCCAGCACUUCAGUCAUGUGUAGUGAGUUUCUUCUUCUCUAUUGUCAUGAACCUGAGUCUAAGUCAGAAAAUCAUAGAAUUACAUUCCUAGCACAGUUUUAGAAUGGGGAGUUUCUCAGAAGUGGUAUCUGAUUUCCUCAUCUUAAAAGUAGGAAACUGAGGCUCAGAAAAGGGAGGCAGUUGAUUCAAGAUCACAGAGUCCUUUUGAGAUGAAGCCAGAACUAAAAUUUGUCUCCCAACUUCUACAGCAGUGCUCUAAUCUUUAAUUAUCAAGGAUAAGAUGUUGACUGUGUGCAGGGUGUUAUGGUCUUGCUAAUGUGCUUUAGAGCAGAAACUUUAGCAAUUUUAUAGACUAGAGAAAUGAGCCAGUCUCUCUUGAUUCUCCAGGUGACACCCUUAUGAAGUAUAGAUUGCUAAAUGCCUUUUAAAACAUUAAUACACUACAAAUAACACACACACAUUGUCUAAUAUUAUCUGCAUACAAAUAUUAUCAAAAUUAUUUCCAUUAUAAGAACUGCUAGUUACUGAACAUUUACUUUGUUCUAGACAAUUCCCAUUUUUUAUUAGCUCUUAUCUUUUCAAUGACUCUGUAAGGUUGGUGUUGUUAUGACUGUUUUUCAGGUGAAUGAGCUCAGUCUCAGUAGACAAACAGCCAAUGUGGCAGAGCUAAGAUUUGGAGUUCAGUCUUUCUGGCUCUAAAACUUGUUGCUGUUUUUACCACACAACCUUUUUAACUUCACCACCAUCUGACCCUACUCCCUGGUACUGGAGAUUGAACCUAGGGCAUGCUAGGCAAGCCCUCUACUAAUAUGCUACUUCACUUUCUCUAUACUCUGUCAAUCCACUCUAUACCCUAUUCACCAACAAUCCCCAAACAUUUUACAUGACUGUUGCUGAAAUGGAAUAGACUUGAAAUUUUUAAAAAAUUUCUUGAUUAUUAAUUUGAUUACCUCAUCAAUUUAGAAAGCAACUCCUAUAUUUAAUAUUCAAGUAAUUCCUAUAUUUAAUUUAAUUAGUAUUUUUCAUAUUUAAUGCAUCUCAUAGAAAAUAAGGGAAACUAAGACCCUAGCAUCUGGUGGUGAGAUGGAAUGUAUUAUAUGUAACCAUAAAUAAAUAAAUAGAAAUAAUAAUAUUAUGAAAAUAUUUAUUCACCAGUCACAGCUUUGAAAACUGUUUGUACUAAAACAUGUUUGUAUUAGAAGACAACCUGCAGAAUUUAAAAUCAGAACUUUUUUUUUUUUCUUUGCAACAGAGCUAGGUCUAGCAUUUGCCUAGAAAUCUUCACAUACAAAUUAGUUUUUUUAAUGCAUACACUUUAAAUAUACACAUUGAUGUUUUAAAUCUGUUUUGAACAUGGAUUAAUGAGUAUUUGCCUUGAUAAAGAAAUAUCUGCUUUUGAGGUUAGAUUAAUGUUUUAUAUGUUGAAAAUAGAUCAUGGGUUCUGAUAGUUCCAAAGAUGUCUGGUAAGUAAAAGAAAAUUGGACUGUGUGAGGUAGCAGAAUAAGUCUAUUGCUACCCUCUAAGUCUGGGGUGAAAGUUCAUAAAUAUAGAACAUAAUGGUCCACUGGCAUCCUGCUGCAGAGGACAAUUACAUAUGACAGUUCAGAGAAGCCAGUCUCUGAACCGAUGGAGAACUGUCAUCUUGUCAAUAAAGUUGUUAUAAGACACAUGAUUUAUACCUUUAUUUCAUGAUCACUUUAGCAUCCUCUUCAGAAUUUAGCUUCCUUCUAAAAUUCACUGGGAUACUUUGGUUCAGCUACAGAAACAAUUAGAUUCAGAUAGAAGCACAAUAAAAGUUAAUUUUAAUGAGUGUUUACUAUGAGCCAAGCACCUUCUAUGAACUUUACAGGUAUUAAAAUGUGGCAUUUAUACACAAUGGAGUAUUACUCUGCAUUAAAAAAUGACUCCUCGGUUUUCACAACUGAGUGGAAGAGGAACUGGUAUUGUCUCUGCUUUGAGGAAUGCCUAAGUUUGCACAGCUGCUACAUGAGGAAGCCUUUGUUCCGGAGGGAGACAGAGACUCCAGGGCCUGGGGAAUCCUAACACAGGUUCCACUGCCUCUCAUCAGUCCUGGCCAGCAGAUAGAUCACUCCUCCACAGACAGUAGCCUCAGAGGAAGAGUGAUGUCCACUCUUGGUAAGUGUUUGAGCAGGAUAUUUGUGGUUUCUGCCACCUCACUACCAUCAUCUUCUUUACCAGACAGAGCUUCCUAUUUUGAUGGGUGAAUCAUCUAGCUAUUCUUCGUGAUCUUCAGCACCAUUUCCUCUCUAAGGGGAAGCUUAUUCAUGCUCAGAAUCUGGCUUCCUUACUGGUCACCUCUGAUUGUUCUGUUGGUCGUUCCCUGAGUUUGAAUAAACUUUCCUCUGCCAACAACAACUACUCCUUCCUAGACUUGAAAAAAAAGUCUGGUCAAUUUUCAGCUUACCAAAAAUGUAAGAUUCCCAAAGAACAGGAUUCGUGUCUGAUUUGUUUUUUAUUCCUAUGUCAUCUGUCGGGGACAUAGCAAACUCUUAAUAAGAAUUGCAAGAGUGAGUGAAUGACUCGCCUUUGAGGGCGUCUGGACUCAGCAGUUUCCCAGACAUCUGCUCUAAUACCAAUUCCUUCAGUCAUUAACUCAGCAAAUAUCCACUGGAAGGGGACAUGAGGUUCUAUGAAUGAAGCAUGAACAUUCAUACUUGAAGACUCACAUCCAUUUGUUCAUUCAUUCAAUUAAUAAAUAUUUAUUGAGCAAUACCUAUGCUGAAUGCAUGUAGUAAGUGGAGGCAAGGAUUUUAAGAAUCAAGGAUUUUGACUGGAAAUCCCAAUUUGACUUCACCACUUUAUAGCUAUGAACUUCAGCAACUUUCUUGAUUUCUCUGAGCCCCUGUUUCCUCAUCUGCUAAAUGAGAGAAAUACCAGCAUCCAUAUGCUGAGUUAGCUGUGAGGAUUAAAGGAGAGGAGAUUGCACGUGUAAAGGGCUCAUUAAAUGUUAUUCAUUAGCUGAUUAAGUGUUAUCCAUUGCUUGGUAAGUGAAACAAAGAGAAAUCAGAUAUCAUCUUGCUCUUAAACAGUAAACUUAUGAGAAGAUCAAUUGUUAAAAUAUGAGGUACAGGAGAUAGGGGUGUAGCUCAGUGAGGGAGCAUUUGCUUAACAUGGGGAGGCCCUGGGUUCGAUACCCAGCACCAGGAAAAAAAAAAAAAAACUGUAGAACAUGAGAUACAAAUAAAAAUUCCAGGGGGCUCCAAUUAAGAUAGAGCUGGCCUGCACUAGGGGAAAUCAGGGAAGCCUCCUUUUCUGAGGAGGUUAUGCUUGAGCAGGUUUGGACAUACAGCCACUCAGGGGAGGGGGAUUUCAGGAAGUGGAAAUAGCUCAGAUAUAAAUACCAUAUUCUAAACUCCUGAAUCACUGGACAAUUAAUGUGACAGAUAAACAAGAUACAUAAAGGGAUAGACUGAGACAAUUCUAGGGAAAGGGGUUGACUAUAUUUUGGGGAAUACUUUGAAAUCUAGGCAGAGAGUUUUGGUACCAUUCUAUGUGGACCAGGGGUGCUUCUGUAGAUUAUGUGCUUCAUUCACUAGCUUCAUUUUUAUUUUCAACUGUGGAAGUCUGAGGACAUCUGAAUGAGCACUCAACUUUUAAAUUUUUAAGUGACUUAUUCUUUCAUGCUUUGGAAACUUGAUCACCCCCCAAUAUGCAUUGACACCUAUCACUUGAGUGACUAAGUAAGAAGAUGACCUGCUGGAGAUAAAAUCCAUUUUAAAUUCACAUGGUGAGGUUAGAUGACUCAUCUGUGGUCACUGGUAUUACUUGGUUGGGAUGAGACUUUCAUGGUUUCUGAUCCUAAGAGUCUUUCUGUUUUCUGGGGUUCAGGGGAUGCAAGCAUGCUACAAGAGGGGUGUUAAAGCCAUAUAACCCGAGUGCCAGAGCAGAGACUUUUUAUAAAAGGGCCCUCCAGCUUGGGGUUGCUUCUGUCACCCCUGGUCACUCACCUUUGCAGCAGUUAAUUGCUAUGCAAAAUGAAAUCAGCUGUAGAUAUUUUCUUACUCUCCUGGCUUGGCCUGUUGAGUACCUUUCUUCUGGAUUUAUCCCAGGUUUCUUAAAGGGCUUCAAAAGAAAUUGUUAUUGACUAAACUCUGGGGUUAUUUAUAAUGGGAAUCCAGUCUCUCAUUCCUCCUGUCCUCCACGGAAGAGUUGGGCUCUUAAUCUGAACCUUGGGGAAUCCGAGGCCCAGUUUGCUUUAUUUAGCUUUUAGGACAUUGGAUUUUUUUUUUGUGAAGAGCUGAAAGUUUCACUGAAGAGAAAAGUAUCCUGUGUCCCAAAGUUCUGAUCACUUUCAGUAAUUCAUCUUCUGCUCCAAAUCCUAUUCUCAUAUUUCCCCCAAUUGCAUGUUCUUCUUUAUUCCUUUCCUUACGUAGUUACAUAAAAGGGCAGUUUGGAUAAGAAACAACUUUUGAGCACACCCCAGAGGCAAUUUACUUAAGUGUAAAUUAUUUACACAGAAUAAUUUAAGUAUAUUUAAUCUAACAAUUUAACCAGCUUGUGAGGUCUAAGAGAAAGGCUAUGCAACUAUGUGUUCUGUAUGGCCCAAAUCUGGAACAUAUAUCCUUGAACACAAUAAGUGAUCAGUCAUUUUCGUAAAAUAAUUCAAUUAGUAAUCAUGCAAGUGUGUCUUGAUGAAGGACAGAGCUACCUUUGUCAUCCAUUCCAGGGGUGUUCUUUAGUUUAGAUUUGCUUAUACAUUCCUAUUUGCUCUCCAUCCCCUUACACACACACACACACACACACACACACGUUCAAGCUCCUUAGUUAACUUUUAACAUUUUGCCUCUGUUCUUUUAUGCUGGAUAUGAGGUGUCCCCCCAAACUCCUGUGUUAACGUAGUAAUGUUCAGAGGUAAAGUGACUGGAUUGUUAGAGCUAUGACCUCAUUAAUCCAUCCUAGUUUGAAUGGACUGACUGGGUGGUAAAGGUAGAAGGUGGGGCAUGGCUGGACAAAGGGGUCACUGGGAACAUGCCCUGGUAGGGUGCAUCUUCCCUGCGACUCCUUUCUCUCCCCUCCCUCUCCCCUUCUUGACCCUGACAGGAGGGGAGCAGCUUUCCUCUGCUGGCUCUUACCCCUAUGAUGCUCUCAUCUUGGGCCCAAAGCAAUGGAGUCGGCCUUCUAUGGACUGGAACCCCAAACAAACCUUCUGUCCUCUAAUUGUUCUUCUCAUGUACUUUAGUAACAGCAGCACAAUAUCUAAAUAAAAACAAUUGAGUAUCUUUUCUUUCUUUCUUUUUUUGGUACUGGGGAUUGAACUCAGGGGCACUAGACCACUGAGCCACAUCCCCAGCCCUGUUUUGUAUUUUAUUUAGAGUCAGGGUGUCACUAAGUUGCUUAGCAUCUCGCUGUUGCUGAGGCUGGAUUUGAACUUGUGAUUCUUCUGUCUCAGCCUCUCGGGCUGCUGGGCUUACAGGCCCGUGCCACCGUGCCUGGCUUCAAUUGAAUAUCUUGAUUGCAAGGCCCUCAAGAACUUUUGAAAAUUGAUGGUAUAAGGCAAUAUCAAAUAUAUCAUAUAUACUUCUAAAAACUGAUUUUUAAACUUCACAGUCAUAUGGCUUUAGUGAAGGUACUCAGAUACCUUGGGCUUGAGUUUCUGCCUCUAUGAAAUGGAGAUAACAAUAGUGCCUAUCCCUUAGAAAAUCAAAUAAGAUACCUGGUAAUAGAAUACUCAUCCCAGUCCCUCAUGUGCUCAAUAAAUGUUUGUGAAGAUGGCAACAGUGAUUUUUUUUUUUCUAGGUUAAAAGGAAUGGUGUGAUGACAUUAUAAGCUGGAAAUCAACUUUUUUUUUUUUUUUGGUAAGAGGUCAGGUAUAAAAAUUCAAUUUUAUUAGUCAGCAUUUAUUAUAUAUAGACUACACAUUUAAUCAAAGCAUUUCAAACAGCAUGCAACAAAAUAAUGUCAACUAUCGUUGAUUAACAUUUGGAUUAAGGAAAACACCACUUGUUUCUUGAAUCCUUUAUACACUCCUUCAUGGAUAACCUGGCUUACGCUCAAACCUUAUCUGUACUAAUCCUUAAUUUUCACAACUCUGUUAAAUUUUCACAACUCUGUCAGGGAGGCUUCAUCACUUAUCUUAUCUGAGGGAGAGUGUAGUGACCUUGCCUUAGUUCUCACCAUAUAGAAUGUGGUUAAGGUUAUAGAAAUGUUCAGGAUCACUGUGCAUCUCCCCCAGUAGAAGAGCCAGGAGUCAAUGACUCCUUGGGAUUAAUUUAAACCACCAGGAUCCUUUCCCAAGGUUGGGGCUAUGCUAUAAGGGCAAUAAGGCAAUUACCUGUUCUGAUACUAGACUGAUCUGGUUUAAAUCUUGGCCUUACUGCUUUCUAACUCAGUGACCUGGGGGCAAAUAACACAGUCCUCUGAGCUUAAGAUGACCAGUCUUUAACAUAAAACAGUUAACACCUCACUGAUUUUUGUAAAGAUUAAAAGAGACAGAACUUCCUGUGAGGGCAGGAAUAUAGAGCAUUGGGCACUUGGGUGUACUGGGCUGUAUACAGGUCUGGCUUUGGCUUUGAUGACCCUGAGGCUAGGGAGACUUGGCUGUCACAGCCAACUGUGACUCAGAAAGGUGGUGUGUGUGUUGGGGGAGGGUGAAUGCCAGAAGAGGGGAAAAAAAAACACAAGAUAAAGAGAAAGGAGGGCUUGAAGAAAUAAUGAGUCUGUGGCUGCCUGGACCAUUUGACCUGGGGACUAGCCCAUGGAGUGUGGAAAAGAAUAAAAUGAGAAUCAGGAGAUCUGAGUUCUAGAUUUUUUGUUGUUUAUUAUCAUUAACACGGACAUGAUGUCAUAUCUCUCUCCUCUCCAGACCUCAGUUUAUCAUCUGAAAAGAAGUGAUAUCAGGGAAUCUGAUCUCUAGUUUCCUUUCAGUCUUGAGAGUGCAUUGAAAGUUCCAGGGAACCAAGCUUUUCUUUGCCUUGGAAUUGUGGGUAUGUCUAUUUUGGUUUAUAAAUGAUAAUUAAUUUGAAAUACUUAGUACUUUAUAUUUUGUAACUAAACAACUAUUUUUCCUCAGUUAUAUUCAUACCUUAGGAAAUAAAUAUCAUUCUUCCCUCGAUUCCAUUCUACAUCCUUUGUCGCACAAUAAACUGGAUUAAAAUGUCAUCUAAAUCAGGCAAGAGUUGGCUCUACCAGUAACUCUUGAUCAUCUUGUAAUUCAAUAAGAAAAUGUGUUGGAUCAUAAGAUUCCCGAUUGUGCUCUUCCUUUAAUGGUGAAAAUAUCUCAGUGAUAGACAGCAGAACUCUCAUCAAAGCAGAGAGAAAAUAGAGAAAAAGCAAGAGGAGAUAAAAGAGGAGGAGGUAGAAGAAGAGGAGAUUCAGGGAAAACAAACGGAAGAAGGAACUCAUUGUCGUAUGGCAAAGUCCCUGAAUUAAGUAGUAUCCUGUCUUGACUCAGGCAGACACUUGAAAUGACUGUCAAAGGCCAUGUGAAUUGACCACAUUCUAGGUUCUUGCCCUUUCUUUUUCCUAUCCCCCUCUCUGUCAUAUUAGGGUUCAGUGUGUGGUGGUGAUGGGUCUUUCCCACUCUUUUACGGGCACUUUGAGAACAAGACCUGGAUAACAUUCAGGCCUAGUUCUCCCCCUCAGAAACAGAGGUUCAAUAUCUUGACCAUAGUAGGUUUCAGUUGACAUGUGGUUGGAUUAGUGAAGAAAUCCCCAAGAAUAUCUUCUAAAAUUGGAUGUCAUAAAACUGGAUUUCUCUCUUCUCUGGUUUCAUUCUCUUGGUGAUGAGAAGACACAGGUGAGACUGUCUGCCAGACAAGACCACUAAUCCUUUCAGGAAUCAGUCUAAGGACCUGGAUAAUGGCUUUUAGUUACUUAUUGAGCAAUUUGCAUGGGGUCUUCUAUGCUUUGAAAAACUCUCACACAUUUUUAUGCCACGAGGUGGUUAAGCAGGAAUUGUUUGUGACUCAUGUUUUGCAGAACAGAAGAUUGUGGUCUGGGGAAGUUAAGUGGCUUGCUUAAGCUCACCAGUGCAGAGUGGUUGAGCACGGAUUUGAAAUUUACUGAGGCCUUGGGCCCAGUUCCCAGAGUUCUUACUUUGUACAUUUCUGACACCUCCUGAUGUCUCAGCCAGCUAAACAGGAAUGAUACCUGCCCAAGCCCAAGCCAUCUGAUAAUGCAAUACUCAUAAAAUUAAGAUAAUAUGUUAUGAUGGCCUUGCAAUCUAAAGAAAAAUCUUCACAUCAAUAUAGUCACUGUUUUGGAUGACAUGGUUACAUAACACCUCUGCCUGUGAAAUUGUGUAGGCUACUCAGCAGGAGAACUUUGGUCAUCUGAGUUGUAUACCUUGUUAAAUAUAGCCCCAUAAAGGGGUGACAAGCCAGGACUUCUGGGCCCUCAGGUCUUUUGGACACUGUCUUAUUGACCACUCUGCUGACCCUUCAGAAAUGCUUUAAUUUACCAUGCUUGGUGAUGAUUUUAGAGGACCUAUUGAUUUUUUUUUCUUUUAUGGAUUGAUUUAACAUUGGAGGAAAAAAAGUUUUUAUCCUACUUGGAAUUAUCCCAUCAGAGAGCAUAUGCAUACCCUGACAAAGGUAUAAUAAUCAUAUUUAAAAUUUGGUCAGUUAAUUUUUUUUAAUUGAACAAAAACUAGAACUCCAUAGAAAUCAGCAUAAGAGAAAAGUAGCUCACUGUGAAUAUUCCUUCACAUAAGUAUAUAAGUGUUACUUUUUGCCACAUACUUUUAAGCACUAGAGAUGGAAGAGUUGAAUGAAGAAAAGAGAUAGAAUCUCAGAGCUUAUAGAAGUCAUAUUUUCAUGGAAGGAAACAAAAGAAGAACAUAACAUGGGUUGUACAUUCUGUGCCUAAGAAUGCAUUGGGGGGUGGGGGCUGGGACUGGGGCUCAGCCAGAGAGCACUCAACUAGCACAUGCGAGGCUCUGGGUUCGAUCCUCAGCACCACAUUAAAAAUAAAUAAAUAAAUAAAUAAAUAAAAUAAAGGUAUUGUGUCCAAAAAGAAAGAGAGAGAGAGAGAGAGAGAGAGAGAGAGAGGGAGAAUACAUUAGGGGAAGGGAGAUAGAUAGCCAUGGGGACCAAGAGUGGGCUCCUUGGAUGUGAAGAUGGAGUGCACCUGUUGGCCAUCUGGGGGAAGAGUGUUCCAGAGAGAGAGCAUCAUUUGAAAAAAAGCUUGUCAUGAGAGUAUGCUUGGGUGCCCUGAGAACAGCAAGGAGUCCAGGGUGGUUGGAGCUGAGUGUGAAAUGAGGCCCAAAUAUCAGCAGGAGAACCUGUCAGGCCAGGGAGGGCCUGGAUGGGACUGUGGCUGUGAGUCUGGGUGAACUGGGGAGUCAUGGGAAGGUGAUGAGCAGAGGUGUCACAUGAUCUACAAAUUUUAAAAGAACGACCAUGGCUGCUCUGAGGAGUAUAGAUUUGGAGGGGGAAAUGAGGUAUAAUGGGGAGAAGAGAAAUGAUUUAAUAGGCUUUUCAGAGUUGAAGACUAAAACAACUGUGUUUGACCCAUAAUAGUCUACACUGUUGGGCCCAAAUAAACUCGGCCAAUUUAAGGGAUAACUUUUAAAAUUUUUUUUUUUUAGUUAUACAUGGACACAAUAUCUUUAUUUUGUUUAUUUAUUUUUAUGUGGUGCUGAGGAUCGAAACCAGUGCCUCAUGUGUGCAAGGCAAGCACUCUGCCACUGAGCUACAACCCCAGCCCUAGUGAUAACUUUUAAAUCCCUGAACUGUGAGAGAGUAAGUUCAAGAAAAUUUAAACUCUUUAAACUUAUGUGACCAUUUCUACCUGUCUAGGGUAGUACAAAUAAAUACCAUCUUUGACGCCAUCUAGGCAAUGUUUCCUUUCAACUGUGGAAAAUAAAGUAACAUUUUAUAUCACUACUCUUAUUUAUUAUGUGAUUUGUAUCAUGUAUGAGCUGAAUAAUUUAUCCAAUUCCUAAAUGUUAAAAGAAGCAAGGGUGGGGUGGGGGGAACCUAAGGACUCUAUGCAAAUUGCUUGUAGAGUACAUUACAAUCAAAAAGGUUAACAAUCUCUCAGAAACAUCAAUGCUAUCAUCUUAACAUUACAAAGAGGCAUAGGUUGCUAGGCUUGGAAGAGAUGUCACUUUGUAGACGAGAAACUGAGGCCCAGAAGGGAGGUAACUGCUCAAGUUCCAGGAAAAUUACUGAGUUCCCACCAGAGCUUGAUUCUCAGUUCAGCAUUUUGCUUCCUUUGUCAAAAGGUUUUCUCACAAAUGAACUUUGUUUCUUAUGCACUAGAGANAUUCCAAAUAAACCCACAAAACACUGCUUAGGGAAGUGCUGGGAGGAAUGCUUUAAUUAAUCCACCGAAAUGCUUUGAAAUGGCAAAUCAAGGGCCUCUUUGUAAAUGGGGGGAUCAGUGACUUGGAAAACAAUUGAUUCUCUUAAAUGUUUGAAACAUUUUUGUCAUAGUUUCACAAUAUUAAUUUGUCCUAUUAUAGAAGAGGGAAAACGGCCUAGAGACUUUCCAAAGGAUCACAUUUUCAGAAUGAUUGGAAUCUAAAAUCUGAACGAAAAGCAGAAUUCCCUCUGCCUGAAAUGCUUUUUACUGAUUUCAUGUCAAAAUUUUAGCCGUCUUUGAAGGUUGAGCUCAAAUAUGACCUCAUUUAUAAUAAUGAUUCCCUCCUGUAAGUCUGUGUGGCUGACCAUCUGUCUGCCUUAGCGCCCUCUGCACCUCUUUCCUUGCAUUAUAGAAGUUUGUAUACAUGCCAUCUUUUGCCCUGGUCUGGGCUCCCUGAGGUCAAGAUCAUGUCGAAUUCACUUGCAUCCUAUGCCCUUUAAGUAUCAGAGUUCUGCACCCUGUUAAGUCAGUUAGGAUAUAGGUUCAGUUUUUCUAAUGGAGACCCCAAAUUAUAAUGCCUGAAACAAGUUAGAGAUUUUUUUCUUGCUUACAUUAAAAAAAAAAAAAAACUAUAGAGAGACUAGGGUUAGUAGAGUAGCUCUAAAGUGCUGCUCUCCUCCGUCUCAGCUAAUGCCAGUCUCCUUCACUAGACGGUUAGAGCAGCACCUGUGUUGUCUUACUCACCAUUGUCUGUCACAUCUGUCACACAACCGGACGGAGGAUGGAUGCUGUGAGCUAUCAAGUGAGAAAGUCCUUGUAAACUGCUCCCGGUAAUUAUUAUUUAAAAAUAAGAUAUGGAUAUAAAACAGAACAGAAAGCAGGUGAAGGAAGUGGCAGUGAAUCUUACCAGUCAUCAAGGGGGAACUGAAUUUGAUUCUAAGCUUCUUGGAAACCAAGCAGAAAAAGAGAACAGUUUGGGUUACUGAAAUUAUUUUUUUCUAAAAAAGACAAAACUUGUGAAGUCCUUUGCAGAAGACAACUUCUUUUCUUGGGGUUUUAUUUAAAUGAAAAUAUUGUUCGCUCCCAGGUUAGUGUUUAAGAAUAAUCAGAUCUCUCCUAACUUGAGAGAGGGAAAAAGAAAGGAAAAAUGCAACCUCUUCCUGUCUCUGGCAAGUGGCCUACCUACCUUCAUAGACUGCCUGCCCCUCUCUCCACCUUCUCCCCCUCCCAUGCAGGCUUUGGUUCUCUGCUUCUCACUUUGACGCUCACUUUUCUACCAGAGCUACUGUCUUGAAAGUCUAUAUCAAUGUGUCCUGCAUCUACCUCUGCUUUAGUCUUCAUUGUGCUAGACAUUUCUUUACCAGCCGAUACACUUGACUUUGAUUAGUUCAUACCCCUUGAUUCUGUUGUACUCACAUCUAAUGGUUUUCUUCCUAUGUUCCUAGAUGCUCUUCGUCAUUCUCUUUAAAGGCUGCUUAAACUCUAAUCUUCUAUCAAUGUUGGCAUUCCUCUGUUUUUAAUUUUCUUCUUUGACCCUUUCUUUCUUUUAAUUCUCUGGUAAUGUCUCUCUCUAGGAAAUGUUAUCUAUUCCUAUGGCUUUAAUUUAUUCUCUGGAUUCUGAUAAUGCCCAGUUGUAGAUCUUUAGACUAGAUUAUUUACCUGAAUUUUAAAUCCAUAUAUUUAAGCUCCUCCUAGAUAUACUACACAGCACCCUGAAUUCUACAUGCCUCAAGUAUUUUCCCCUCUCCUAACCCUUUUAUUCCCGUGAUCCUCAUGCCAGUGAAGGACUCUAGCUUCUACCCAAAAGGCUGGAACCUUGACAUUUUUAAAUGCUCCUUUGCUCUGAAACCUAUCCCCUAAGUCUUUAUCACUGAAUCCUAUUAACUCUACUUUCUAAAUACCUCUAAAAUCAGUCUGCUACUCCCUAUUCUCAAAUUUCACUACCUGAGUGUGGGCCCUUAGAUUUCUACCACAGCUCUUAGCUGGGCCCCCUGCCCCAGGCUGGCCUUUCUUCAAGUUGAUUUUUCCACAAAGCAGUCCAGGUGGUUGGUCAAUUGGUCUACCUGUCUAUCUAUUCAUCUUUCUCCCUCUCCCUCUUUUUAUUUCUUUCUCUCUCCCUUCUCUUUCCUUCUCUUUUGGUGGUAGUAGGAAUUGAACCCAGUGUCUUGCGCAUGCUAGACAAAUACUCUAUCACUGAGCUACAUCCCCAAUCCUUUUAAUUUUGAGACAUGGUCUCAUUGAGUUGCCCAGGUUAGCUUUCAACUUGCCUUCCUCCUGCCUCAGCCUCCUCAGGAGCUGAGAUUACAGCUGGAGCCUCUAUGCGGGCCCAAGUGGUUAUUUAUAAAGCAAUACUCUGAACUUGUAUUGUCCUGCUUAAAAGUUAACAGUAGCUCUCCAUGACAUUCAGAAUAAAAUUCUGACUCCAUAAUGAGACUUAGCUGCCCUGUCUGACCUUGCUCCUACUUAUCUUCCAGCCUUAUCUCAUUCUUCCUCCCAAACCCUGCUCCAAAACACUACACACCCUCCCAUGAGCUGCUUCUACUCUUGGUGGCACCUGGCUCUCUCCUGCCUCAGUGUCAUUGUAAGUGUUCUCCCUAUCCAUCCACACUUCUCCUGGAUUACUCUAAUGACCUUUUCACUGUCACUUGAGAAAUACUACAAAUAUGUAAUUCAACAAAUAUAUACUGAACCCCCACUCCUCAAUCACAGGCAUUUGUGGCACAAUAGCAAGCAAAAAAUAUGUGGUCUGUCCCCAUGGUCCUUGUCAAAGGGGACUUCCUUGCCCUUCUAAGAAUGUGUUGUCUUCUCAUGGAACUCCAUCUGUAUUUCACAGGGCACUGUUUCCAGUUUUUUUCAGUGAGUUUUAAAUCAGGGUCUAAAUGGAGGUCAACAGACUUUUCCCAUAAAGAGACAGAUGACAGAUGGUAAAUAUUUUGGCUUUUCAAGACAUACAGUCUCUGUCAGAAUUACUCAGCUCUGUGGUUGUAGAGAGAAGGCAGGCAUAGAUAAUAUGUCAAUGAAUUGGCAUGGCCGUGUGCCGAUAAAAUUUUAUUUACAAUAACACCUGGUGCACCAGGUUUGGCCUAUUGGUCACAGUUUGCUGACCCUGAACCUAGGCAUCUACCCUAGGAUAGUCUUUUGUAUUGACAGUACUGGCAUUGCAUUUGAUCUUGAAGCUUACCAAUAAGGAUUCGUUGGAUAAAUAAGUGAAAGGUAAAGAACAAAAUAUUCUAUUCUUCUCCCUCUGUGGUCAUGACUCCUUUGUCAAUAUGUGCUACACAUUCAUUCUGUACAGCCAGUGAAGACUGCUCCUCCUACCUGGGAAGAUGGUUUUCACCUGUUGUUUUCAUUUAAACAUCUGUAUAAGCAAAUACUGUAUCACAAAUCUGGGUUUCUUUGGUGGUAGAGUUUUAAAUCCUUUGUCAUUGCCCUCAAUCAUUCCUUACAACACAAUGUUUGCUCUCUUUCUAAUUAUGAUCACUAAGCUUUUUAUUAUCUGGAUAUGAUUCAUGUGCUUAUUACAGACUUCAGUUAUUUCAUUUGUGUGUAUAUAGAUGUACAGGCACACCACAGAGAUAUUUCAGGUUUGGUUCCAGACCACCACGAUAAAAUCAAUAUUGGAAUAAAGCAAGUCACAUGAAUUUUUUGGUUUCCCAGGACAUAUAAAAAUUAUGUUUACACUGUAGUAUAAUCUAUUAAGUGUACAAUAGCACAUCAUCAUUAUUUCACGUCUAAAAAUGCACAUAUCUUAGUUAAAAAUACUUUACUAGUAAAAAAUGCUAAUGAUCAUCUGCACCCUUGUAAAUCAUAACUAUUUUGCUGGUGGAGGGUCUUGCCUUGAUAUUGAUGACUGCUCAUCGAUCAACUGUGGCAAUUUCUGAAAAUAAGAUAAAAUCAAGUGAUUCUUCCUUUCAUAAAAGAUUUCCCUACAGCAUGUGAUGUUGUUCAUAGCACGUUUCAACAAUGUUCACAAAAUCUUCGCCAUUUUUUCUGCUCAUCCAUAUGAAGCAAUUCCGUGCCUGUUAAAAGUGUUUUUAUUAUUAUUAUGAGAUCACAACAUUUCAAUCACACCUUCAGGCUCCACUAUUAAUUUGCAUUCUCCUGCCAUUUCUACCACAUCUGCAGUUACUUCCUUCUGUGAAGUCUCAAACUACUCAAAUCCAUCCACAUAGAUAGGAAUGGACUUCUUCCAAACUCUAGCUAAUAUUUAUUUAUUUAUUUAUUUUUACUACCUCCUAUGCAUCGCAAAUGUUCUUAGUGGAAUCAAGAAUGGUGAAUCUUUUCUAGAAUAUUUUCCAUUAAUUUACCCAGCUGCAUCAGAUGUGCCUAUAGCUUUUGUAGCUAUAUAGUCGUAUGAAAUAAAUAUCUUAAAUAAUAAGACUUGAAAGUCAGAAUUACUCCUUGGGCUACAGAAUGGAUGUUGUGUUAGCAGGCAUGAAAACAACAUUAAUCUCCCUGUACAUCACCAACAGAGCUCUUGGGUAACUGGGUGAACUGUCAAUGAGUAGUAAUAUUUUGAAAGGAGUCCUUUUUAUUUUUCCUUCUGAGCAAUAGUUCUCAACAUCAGGUUUCAAGUCGUUAUAAACCAUACUGUAAACAAAUGUCCUUAUUUGUCUUUAUUGUUCUAUUUACAGAGCAUAGGCAGAGUAGCUUUACUCUAAUUCUUGAGGGUUCUAGGAUUUUCAAAAUGGUGACUGAGCAUUGGCUUUAACAUUAUAUCCCCAGCUGCACUAGCCCCUAACAAGGGGGUAAGCCUAUCCUUUGAAGCUUCAAAGCCAGGCACUGCCUUCUCUUCUCUAGCUAUGGAAGUCCAACGUAAGGCUGGACUUUAGCAAUCCCCUUCCUCAAUUCUCUCGGUUCAGCUUCUAAGUCAGCACUUGCUGCUUGCCCCUCACCUUCACGCUGUGGAGACAGUUUGUUUCCUUAAACCUCAUGAACCAACCUCUGCUAGCUUCAAACAUUUCUUCUGCAGCUUCUCGCCUCUCUCAGCCUUCAUGGAAUUGAGGAGAGUGGGGGCCUUGCUCUGGAUUAGGCUUUGGCUUAAUGGAAUGUGGUGGCUGUUGAUUUUCCAUCCAAACCACUAAAACUUUCUUCAAAUCAGCAAUGAGUCUGUUUCACUCUAUUAUCAUUCAUGUGUUUCCUGGGGUGACACUUUUUAUUUCCUUCAAAAACUUUCCUUUUCCUUUACAACUUGUUUAACUGGCAUAAGCAGCACAGCUUUGGGUCCAUCUUGGCUUUGACAGGUCUUCCUUCUAAGCGUAAUCAUUUGUAAUUUUUUUUUAAUUUAAGGUGAGACCUAUGCAACUCUUCCCUUUCACCUCAACAUUUAUGGGCCAUUUUAAGGCUAUUCAUUGGCCUUAUAUAAAUACUGUUGAGUUUUAGGAAAAGGGGCGGCUCAAGAAGCUGGGGGAGGGAGGUACAGCCAGUUGGUGGCAGUUGGGACACACACAUUUUAUCAAUUAAGUUUGCACUUUUAUGGGUGCAGUUUAUGGCACUGCAAAUAUUUACAAUAGCAAAAUCAAAGAUUGCUGGUCACAGGUCACCAUAACAUAUAUAAUAACUAUGAACAAGUUUGAUAUAUUGAGAGAAUCACCAGAAGGUGACAGAGACACAAAGUGAGAACGUACUCUUGGACAUAUGGUGCUGAUAGAUAUGUUCAGUACAGGCCACCGCAAAUUUCUAAUUUGUGAACAAUGCAAGAUCUGAGAAGCACAAUAAGGUGAAGGGUAAUAAAACAAGGAACGCCUAUAGUAAUUCCUUUGUUCCAUAAAUAUUUAUUCAAACUUAACCUUAAAAUCUUUCUGAAGCACAUGGGAUAUUUAGAGAAAAUUGUCAAUUAAAUCAACGUAUAAAACACUUAUCAUGCAUAGGGCACUGGGAGAGGUUUCAGGGUGCAGUAAAGACAAAGAUAACUCAGAUAAGGUAUUGUCACUAAGAGGCUUACAUUGUAGAAAAGUGAGAAAGUGAAUAAGUGAUUAUAACAUAUUGAUGAAAGUUGAAAUUUCUUGGUGGGGGAGGAAUCAGUACAAUGUUCUAGAACUUUCAUAGGAAAUAAAAAUUAUCUUCAGCCAAAGAGAUCAAAGAAGUCUCCGAGGGAAGAGAAUUUGACCUAGAAAUUAAAAGGUAGGUAUCUGGAAUAUUGGUAGAACGCUAAAUGGCCUUGAAAACAGAAAUGUAUAGGCACACCACAAGUUACUAGAAAGCAAGUUUUAAUGAAGCUACGACCAGGGACUGGCUGAUAAAAGCGGAGCCAAAUCCCUUCAAGAAGGUGCCAAGUCCAUUCUGGUCUGGAAUGCAUUGAUAAUUGGGACAUUAUGCUCAGAGACUGCAAAUUGACGUUCUGUCGUCAUCCCCCUUGGAAUAGAAACUCCAAUCCUUUAAAGUAAUUAGCACCAAUUUGGAGCAUGUGUGCAAAAAUAAAUCACCAGUGUCCAAAAACAGAUGCAUUAAGUUCAAUGGUUACAAAGCAAAAGUUCUUUUUUAGCCCCACCUACGUAAACAAAAUCAGAAGUAAUUAGCAUUUAAAAAUAGCAGAGAGAUAAGGAGAGUUCAAUUCCCACUGGAAAAUUAUUACUUAUAUAAAAGUUCACAAUGAUGAGUGUCUUCCUGGUCUUAGUCAUGUUAUUUCAGUGGCUAAAGGAUGGGCUUUCUUUCCUGAAGGUUAGGAGGGAGAACUGUGAUUCUGUGCAUGUCAAGGGUCAAGGGUCCAAGUUGAAAUCUAAACGUCUGUGUCCUCUGCCAAACAAACAGGGGUCUUUGCUGUCUCUCCUCCCCUCAUCACUGUCUCUCAUUCCUUCCUCUUCAGGGGUCAGAAGACAAUUUGCAGAAUCUCGAGUUGCUGGCAGAAUCUGCCCCUAGAAGCCUCUGUGUGAGGUUGUGUUGGUGUUUAAUUAUGAGAUAUCUACUGUUGAAAAGAGACUCAGCAACGCGCACUGAAGAAGGGUGGUGGGUGCCAUGAUUAGGAUGUGUCUUGUCUCUAAAGGGCUUGUUUUGGAGGUUAGGUCCUCAGUGUGGCAGUGUCCAGGGAGUAGGACCUGCAAGUGGGAGGGAGGUUCUUAGUUCACUGGGGGCACUGACCUUGGGAGGGAUUGAAGUAGUUCUCUUAGGAUCUUGAGCUAGUUCUUGUGAAUGUGACUUAUUAUAAAAGACUGAGUCUGAUCCCCAAAUCUUUCUGGCUUGCUGCCUGGCCAUGUGAUCUCUCCCCUGUCACAGGAGCUUCCACCACUCCCAUUCUACCUGCUAUGAGAGCUGAGGAAAUGCUGGCACUAUGCCCUUGAGUCUCCAGGACUAUGAGAUAAAUAAACGUCUUUUGUUUAUAAAGUAACCUGGACUUAGGCAUUUUAUUAUAGUAACAGAAUACAGACAAAUAUAGCCAUUUCAUGAGCUUAUCAGUGCACACUUUGAAGUAGCCCUUGACACCUUUCUAGAACAUGUUAUAUCUCAAUCAAGGAUUGAGUAUUACUGUUGUAUAUGGUGUCAGAAUGGGGAGACAAACUGCUGUGGAAAUGCAGGUGAAGAUGUGGGAGUGCACGGUGCCAUGUAAGACUACUGCCUGAUAGUUCUACAGGACUCUGGGUGCCAGGUGUGUCAGUAAUUUGCUACAUGAACUUGGCUAAGUUGCUUGCUCUUUCUGGGUCUUUGUUCUCCCAUCCUUAAAGUUAGGGACUGAAUUGGGUCAUCUUACUGCUAUAGGAUCCCAUAUAGUCUUUUUUUUUUUUUUUUAACGAUUUUGAAGACAUAACUCACGUCCUAGAUUUGCUCUUUUUGUCCAUUGACUUGGAAAGACAUGNAGUGAAUAAGUGAUUAUAACAUAUUGAUGAAAGUUGAAAUUUCUUGGUGGGGGAGGAAUCAGUACAAUGUUCUAGAACUUUCAUAGGAAAUAAAAAUUAUCUUCAGCCAAAGAGAUCAAAGAAGUCUCCGAGGGAAGAGAAUUUGACCUAGAAAUUAAAAGGUAGGUAUCUGGAAUAUUGGUAGAACGCUAAAUGGCCUUGAAAACAGAAAUGUAUAGGCACACCACAAGUUACUAGAAAGCAAGUUUUAAUGAAGCUACGACCAGGGACUGGCUGAUAAAAGCGGAGCCAAAUCCCUUCAAGAAGGUGCCAAGUCCAUUCUGGUCUGGAAUGCAUUGAUAAUUGGGACAUUAUGCUCAGAGACUGCAAAUUGACGUUCUGUCGUCAUCCCCCUUGGAAUAGAAACUCCAAUCCUUUAAAGUAAUUAGCACCAAUUUGGAGCAUGUGUGCAAAAAUAAAUCACCAGUGUCCAAAAACAGAUGCAUUAAGUUCAAUGGUUACAAAGCAAAAGUUCUUUUUUAGCCCCACCUACGUAAACAAAAUCAGAAGUAAUUAGCAUUUAAAAAUAGCAGAGAGAUAAGGAGAGUUCAAUUCCCACUGGAAAAUUAUUACUUAUAUAAAAGUUCACAAUGAUGAGUGUCUUCCUGGUCUUAGUCAUGUUAUUUCAGUGGCUAAAGGAUGGGCUUUCUUUCCUGAAGGUUAGGAGGGAGAACUGUGAUUCUGUGCAUGUCAAGGGUCAAGGGUCCAAGUUGAAAUCUAAACGUCUGUGUCCUCUGCCAAACAAACAGGGGUCUUUGCUGUCUCUCCUCCCCUCAUCACUGUCUCUCAUUCCUUCCUCUUCAGGGGUCAGAAGACAAUUUGCAGAAUCUCGAGUUGCUGGCAGAAUCUGCCCCUAGAAGCCUCUGUGUGAGGUUGUGUUGGUGUUUAAUUAUGAGAUAUCUACUGUUGAAAAGAGACUCAGCAACGCGCACUGAAGAAGGGUGGUGGGUGCCAUGAUUAGGAUGUGUCUUGUCUCUAAAGGGCUUGUUUUGGAGGUUAGGUCCUCAGUGUGGCAGUGUCCAGGGAGUAGGACCUGCAAGUGGGAGGGAGGUUCUUAGUUCACUGGGGGCACUGACCUUGGGAGGGAUUGAAGUAGUUCUCUUAGGAUCUUGAGCUAGUUCUUGUGAAUGUGACUUAUUAUAAAAGACUGAGUCUGAUCCCCAAAUCUUUCUGGCUUGCUGCCUGGCCAUGUGAUCUCUCCCCUGUCACAGGAGCUUCCACCACUCCCAUUCUACCUGCUAUGAGAGCUGAGGAAAUGCUGGCACUAUGCCCUUGAGUCUCCAGGACUAUGAGAUAAAUAAACGUCUUUUGUUUAUAAAGUAACCUGGACUUAGGCAUUUUAUUAUAGUAACAGAAUACAGACAAAUAUAGCCAUUUCAUGAGCUUAUCAGUGCACACUUUGAAGUAGCCCUUGACACCUUUCUAGAACAUGUUAUAUCUCAAUCAAGGAUUGAGUAUUACUGUUGUAUAUGGUGUCAGAAUGGGGAGACAAACUGCUGUGGAAAUGCAGGUGAAGAUGUGGGAGUGCACGGUGCCAUGUAAGACUACUGCCUGAUAGUUCUACAGGACUCUGGGUGCCAGGUGUGUCAGUAAUUUGCUACAUGAACUUGGCUAAGUUGCUUGCUCUUUCUGGGUCUUUGUUCUCCCAUCCUUAAAGUUAGGGACUGAAUUGGGUCAUCUUACUGCUAUAGGAUCCCAUAUAGUCUUUUUUUUUUUUUUUUAACGAUUUUGAAGACAUAACUCACGUCCUAGAUUUGCUCUUUUUGUCCAUUGACUUGGAAAGACAUGGUGAGGGAAUGUUGGGGGAUGGACAUAUGUAGAACUCAACAUUUUUCUAUUCCUCAUUUAUAAAAUACAUGAAAAAUAUACUCCAUAUUUCCUUUCCCAAAAUUUCACAAGUUUAGAAACACAGGAUUGACAUAGAGAACCCAGAAGGUCCUGAUUGCAGUAGCAUAACAGAACCCACCAAAUCAUAGUCAUUCUGAGAAACAGACAGUGAAAGCUGAUGUGAUCUUGGAAUAGAACUGAGGGCUAAAUGGGAAGGGAUUUCCUCAAAGUGGCGUGUUAAAGGCAGAACUAUGAUUCAAACCUCUUGAUUCUAAAUCCUCUUUCCACCGUGUCUUUCUUCCUCUGUCUUUAGAAUGUCUAAUCUUGAAUUGGGGCUUCAAGAUUGAUUAAAAUACAUAUAUUUUAAAUAAAAAUAUCAGUGGAGUUUUGCAACAGUAUAGCAUAGUUUAAAUCUCUGACCAUUAGUUUUUGUUCGGACUUCACUCAAUUUUUAUAUUUUCCCCCCAAAUCAUUUAUUGCUGUUCUUUUCCUAAUAAUGAAUACCAGUCCUUCUGACUGCCCCUCAACACACACACACACACACACACACAUGCACACACGCACGCAUGCACACACACAGUUGGGAUGUUUGUACAGAAACCUGAGACUCAUCUCAAAUAUCUUCUUCUCUGGAUAUCUUCUCACUGGCCACAGUCAGUCUAUAUUCCUGGCACUUCAUCAAUUCUUUGCUUCACAAUUACCCCAAGAGUUUCUAUCUUUCCUACCUACAGACCCAUCUCCUCUAUUAAGAUGUAAGCUCAUCAGAAACUGGGAACAUCUUUAUAUCCUUGUUAUUAAGGCCUUAGUGCUGCUUAGGUAUGUUUACUGGAUAAAUGAAUAAAUAAAAGAGCUUCGUUAGUAUUCAGUGGUGCCCUCAUAGCCCUGAGAGCCAUGGCAAGAUUAGCAGUGACUUUCCUUUCAUUCUUUAUGAGGAAGCAAGAUGGUCAAAGAAUGGGCCAGGGCUAGGGGUGUAGCUCAGCGGCAGAGCAUUUGCCUCGAAUGUGCAAGGCCCUAGGUUCUGUCCCUAGCACUUCCUUCCCACCUAAAGAAGGGCAGAGCUGUCUUGGUUCUGUCUGAUCUGUCUUCAUGGCUGUGAUUUCAUAGCAUUCUUCAUGACUACUCACGCAUGGCCUAAGAACAGAGAGUGACCCUGUCCAGACUUAGGAGAUGGGGGAAAGGGCAAGAAGACUACUCAUAAACUUUGGGUUGCCAGUCUCAGCACGAGGGCAUACCUAAGCCAACCCCCCCACUGACUUUGGCCAGGGUCCUAGAUCUGUUCUCUGUGCAUCAGCAUGGGUCAACAUGGCCUCUGGGAGGGAAAAGUGUCAAGGGUCAGGCACCAGGGGUGGUUCCUGAAACAGUGUUGACAAGAGUGGGAAACUGUAGCCUCUUUGCUCAGACACUUGGAGGCAGAAGGAAGGGGGAGCAUAAACAAAAAGCCAUCAAACUUCUGUCCAACGUUGCAGGCAGGAAAGCAGAGGGCUCUUGAACGUUGGUAAAAAGAGAAGUUGGCACGGUGAUGGGGAGUGACAGAAAGUCCUUGUGGACAGGAAGGAGAGGUAGGUGUGGAGUCAGGGCAGAGGAAUAAGAGGCAGAGACAGAAGGAUUGAGAACUUAUAGCUACGAGAGUACAGAGGAAGAGGGAGAGAAAGGAGAAAGGUUUUCUCAUUUUAAAUGAGAAAAGAGCAAAGUACAGACAUCCAGAGAGAAUAUAGCUUAGGGUGGGAGUGAGAGAAAAAUCUGGAGAGGAAAGAGAAGCAAUGAGAGCAAGAUGCAGGGCCACUUAGAGCUGGCCUGGCCUGCUCAGCUCAGAAAACUUUCUUUUGUAAGCCUGGCACAAAGAAGAUCUGUGUGCAGGGGAAAAUGUGCUGACUCCUGCCCAGGGCUUGCUUGUCAGAGGACAGAAACAGAUCAAUUAACCUGGGUGGGGCUCUCCUGACUGUGUUCAGUGCCUGGCCAGGCCAGGCCAGGCCAAGGACUCUCACAUGGUCACUAAGCUAUUAAAGGGCCAUUAGCUGCAGGUCAGGAUUAGCCUCUUACCUUGAGAAAAACCCUCUUCCUGUGUAGUGAGGUAGCUCACCUCCACUGGCCUGACCACUACGUCUCUUUCAGGCCCAGCUCAGGACCUAGUUAGGUAUCUCCCCUUGACUUAGAAAACGGGCCUUUUGGAACCUGAGUGGGCUUUGAGGAACUUCUAGAAGCCAGCACAGCCCACUACAGUUAAUUGGUGGGUUGAUUCUGGGCCAUAUUUGUGGGUGGAGCAGCAAUCAUUUGGAGAAGAAUAUUCCCAUACAGCUUAGAGUACUAGAUGCAUACUAUAGGGAGAAAGGUGUCAGCACCUAGAAGACCUUUGAAACCAAAACUAGGUAAAAGCUGGCUUUAGAAUUCACACAUUCAAUGUUUUCUCAACAUUUUUUGAGCAUCUACCAUGCAUGGGGCACUGUGCGGGAGGCUGGGGGUACAGAAAGAAGUAAACAUGUUCAGUACUCUCUGGGGACAGCAAGGGCUCCCCAACUUAACAGAAGCACUUCAGGAGCUCAGAAGUGAUGGUGGCUGAUUCUGUUUUGAGGUUAGCAACAUAUCUGGGAAGGGCCCAUUUGAGCAUGGCCUUAAGGACUGAGUAGGAUCCACCAGGGAAAGCAGAGAGAGCCCAGGCAAGGAGAGGCACAGAUCAAAACCAACAGGUGUGAAAGUGCAGUUAGGCUCACCUGGAGGAUGAACUGUCGAAGACAGGGAAGACCCCACAAGGUACAUGGGUGGAAUGGAAAUAGGGGCCAGACAAGGACAGGCACAUAAAGACUGAGACACCCAAGGUUUUGGUUAGAAGGAAACUUGGAAGAUUACCUAGACGAUUGAUAUUUAGAAAAAAUCAAACAUUUGUGGGUGAAGUAGAAUUUAUUGACACAUGCCUGGGACUGGGUGUGGCUGAAGGGGACAUUAUAAUAAGGUUGACAUCUCAAACUAAUCAUGUCAUUCCUUUUCUCCAUAAAAACCUGAAUGUUCUGCCUUGUGUAGACCCUCCUGCCUUCUCAGUCCUUUUUCUCUUGCUUCUCUCCCAUCUCCAGUCCUUGCCCGUCCCUCCCAGACUGCUCCAGGCCUGAUGGAAUCUCUGUGCUGGGUCUCCUCAGUCCUGGCCUUCAGUCUCAUGUGGGUAGUGGUAGGUCCCUGGAGGACUAGAACCUCCUGUGCAGCCAGAUCCAUCUCCCUAAGAAGGCAGAUGUUAGCUCAUUUGUCACUGAAAAGUUCUAAAAGCACUAAGAAGUAAAAACCAGCCUUACCCAGUUCUUUUUUUACAAAUUAGAUGAAGUGAGAAGUAAAAGUUUUCUCCUUCAGUCUGUGAGCAUUUAUCCCUCAAGAUGCUUUUCUAAGUUAAAUCAAAUUUAUAACGGUGUAUAUGUGCAAUAGAAUCACAUACCUAUUUAUAAUAAAUUAUGACAUACACAUUAACUUUUCUAUUUUAAAGUGUACUGUGGAAAAAAAUUCCCAAUUCUGUACCUUAUUUACAGUCUAGUAUUCCAUAGACUAGAAAUGUUGUCAGCUACUUUUCCGUUGAUAGACAUUUAUGAUGAUUUCACUUGUUUGCCUUUACAAACGAUGCUGUCAUAAACAUCUUUAUACACCUUUCCAUUAUCUCUAUAGAAUGGAUUUUCUAGAGGUUAGAUUGUUAAAUAAAGAGAAUGUAUAUUUUAAAUCUUAUUUGGAAUCACAUCAUUCUCUCUUUUUUUUAAAGAUUGUAUUGGUUUAAUUCAAAUGUACGAUACGUCAAGAUCAUUGUAUUGUCAUGUGUAACUAAUUAAAACAAACAAACAAAAAAAGAUUAUACUGGUUUAUACUCUAAACAGCAAUUGCAUGAGGUUCCUCUUCCACAAUCGCCCUCUUGCCCUGGUACUGCCUCAUCACACAACAGGUGAGGAAAUGGCAAAGUUAGUUGUCUAAUAGCACACAACUACAUAUUGGCAAUGCUGGGACCAAGAUUCCAGGUCUGCUGUCACUACACAAUAAGGCAAUGCAUGUGGAAUAUUAAGAACCAUGCCUAGCACCAAGCAAGGGCUCAAUAAAUGUUCAUUAUUGCUACUAUGGAAGUACACUGCUCAAAUUGAGGCCUGUUACAAGUUUUAGGAACUGGAUUAGUGUGAAUGAUGAAUUGGAGAGGAGAGAGAGCAGAGGCAAGGAGGCUUCAGGUAGGUUUUCCCAGUCUGGAUAAGGUCCCUUCUUUUUGUUCUCUUGCCACUCUCCCUGACUCCUUGCAACCUCAAAUUUGGCGCUGAUUAAUUGUCCACCACAAUACUUUCUCUGGAGGAUAAAAAAGUGAGAGUGUGCUCUUUGCCAUCAGGGACUGGAGACUGCAGGCUAAAGUGCUGCAGUCACCUUCAGAAGUCCAACAGGAAUUUAAAAUGAUAUACUUCCGAGGCUACAGAUCACUCACGUGGUUGUUUUAUACCUGAAGGGUCUCAAGGAAAAAGAGCCAGUUAUUACUUAUUAAUUAUAUUGUGAUUCUCUUCAAUUAGGUCAGAAACUCCUUAAGGGAGGGCCUCUAACGUUUUUUUUUUUAUCAUCCCCUCCAAUGUGAACUAGUGUGUUGAGGCACAUGCUGUACAAAUUCAAUAUGCACAAGGUGGGAAAAAGUUCAGGGUCUGGUUUUUGGUGUGAUUUGAGGAAGUCACUCCCUUUAGAGUUGUGCCUUCUAGAAAUCAAUUGAUUAAAUUACCACCUGAUGACUUAAGUCAGUUCCACCUUUGCAAAGUGAUGAACUGUCCUUAGAACUGUCUCUUGGCCAGAAAAAAAUGCUGGCCUCCCUGCUGCAGUCGGGCAGUCUCGUAAGCGUGUCAGAAGUCGCCGUUCAACACCUAGCCCCAUCCGGUCUCUUUUCACGGACCUCUUUACCCUAAGAUCUUCCAUUCUCGGUGACCUUCUUGAACCGGGGUCUCGGCUCCUGAAGAGUUAGUUAUACGUACUGAAAGUCUUAAGGAUAAAAUUAGUCGCUUUGCCUUUACUUUAAGGGUUACAUCGAAAAUCAAGUUUUUUUAUUUAAUGUUCACCAUAUACUAUAAGUACGUAUGGUAAAGGAGACUUUAAGAAAAAUUCUUAACUUCUUUUAUUGGUAUAUUGUAUGACCUUUCUUGUGAUCGGAUCCUCAGGUCUCUAAAUCAAAGUACGGGAUUUAAAUAGUGGACCAUCGACACACUAGUUUUCGUCAGUCAAGGGGGCAGAAUGGAGUAAAGUGAAUAUAUAUUUCACUCUCUUAACUACCAUACAUUCGAGGAGAGUUGGGGUUAUUUUCAACUCACCUAUUAUCCCUGGGUAGUGUCAAAGACUCCUGCAUUUAUCCAUCCAUCCUCUCCACAAAUAUUUAGUCAGUUCCUACUUGGACAGUGUGCAUGUGAUGUGAGCCCUUCUGCUCUGAGUCGAAAGAGUGACGGUAUCAUCCUCCUCAUCGUUCCCUCCUUUCUGCUUCUAGCAUCUCACUCAUCACAUCCUUAUGCAGUUCGCACUUCACUUGUUUCUCUUCGACCAGACUGAGCAAUUCGUUGGCAGAGAUCUGAUAAAGUCAAGCCAUCCUUGAAUAUCAGACACCUUGAGGGGCUUCCUACUGCCUUAAGGGAGAAUUCCAAACUUUUGUACUGGGCUGGAUGCUAUCUUUCCUAUAAACUCUGCUAAUGAACUCAUCUUUAAUCUCACCCUCUUCCUCUCAGCCCUACUCACACCUAAAAUGUCACCCUUCAGCCACACCACACAGUGACCUCACCCGGUGCCUUUGAAGGUCCUCCUCCCCUGCCUGCCUAAAGGGUCUGGUCUGCUUUUCAAGCUCUAGUUCAAAUUCUUUCAUUCCUCAGAACAUUUGCAGAGAACCAGAUCCACCCCUUUAGAAUUAAUUUUCACCUGUUCCCCAGAUCUUCCCUGCAGUGAAGUUCAAACACGUGCUGGAUCUUUAGUGCAGGGGUUUUGUGAGCCUUUCUGUCUAUUUGCUACACUGUGAGGUUCUGGGGAGAAUUGUCCAUGUCUUGGAUUUUUGAUCCUCCACAGCACAGAGAUCUUCAUGCUUAAGGUCACUCUGCACUGAGCAGUUACCAUAAUGCCAUAAUGCCAGCAUGGGCCUUAUGAUACUCCACAUUCACUCAUACAAUGAAAUGCAGACAAGUAAACCACCCAAGGCAACCCCAGUAAUAGGACAAAGCCUUGAACCUCUUAAGACUAGUCUACACUGCUUCCCUACAAGGGGCCACGCUAUGUGCUGAGUGGUUUGGUAGCUAUUCAGAGAAGAGGUUUGCAGGGAGCCAUCCAUGAAAAUCUCAUGAGUAUCUUCUGUCGGCAUGAAGCCAGGGAGAUUUUAGGGUUAACCUUGGGAACUAUCCGUGGCUCUCCCAUGCAAUAGAUUGCCCAAGGCACGGGACCUUUAUCUUCACUCUGCUAGGAUGAUUUCUCAUGGUUGCUUUGGAGAUGGACUUAACCCGUCAGGAACUGGACAGCCCACCUUCAAUCUUUUUUGGAGAAGAAUAUCUAUGGAAGGCCUUUGAUGUCCCCCUGAUAUAAAUAAAGCAAGCACAGCCUCCAUUUUGCCAGAGUAUAGAAGCUCCAUCUGUGUGAUCGGCCUAUCCAUCCCGCCCCCACUUUUUGAAAUUAUUUUCUGUGUCCUGUGGUUUUUUUUUUUUUUUGUCGUUUUAUUCUUUUUAGCUUUUAUUUCUUAGCCAGUCCAUUCCUCCGAGGGGAACCCCAUUUCCAUCGCCUGCGCGGGAUGCAGGCGCGAGAGGUUGAAGAUGUACUUAACAAAAGUUUCCUGAUUAGCUAGGGACAUUUCAGAAGUGUUUGGAAGGAGCUGGCAUCUGAUCUGAUCCCUGAGGACAAAGUGGGAAUUUGACAAAGAACAAGUUCAGGGUGUACUUGAGAGAUGAGAGAGAUGAGUCCCCCACCAAGUGAAGAAAGGAUGUCUGCGAGGAGAAUAUGAGAGUCGCUUCUCCAGCUAGACUGUGAGUAGAUGAGGACAGGAGACACUUGGUCCUGCUUCGGGCUGUAUCUCCAUUGCCCAUGGCCAUGGAGCGCAUGCUAGAUAAAUAUAUUGUAGACAUUAAUCUGCUCAAUAGAUGCUACCUAAGUGUGUGUGUGUGUGUGUAAUUUUAAACUCACUCUUGGCCUAGAAUGCUGAAUACCCUGCUUUAUGAAGGCUUGAAAAGCCCAAGCCAAAACUUUUAAAGCCUGAAAGUGAAACCUCCAGUCCCUAGAAAGUUUCACUGACCAACCCAGUUUCACUGACUGGCUGAGUAAAAAAAAAUAAACCAACAGAACCAGCUAUGAAAAAUCAAAUAAGAAAAAAAAAAUCUUUCAGUUCCAAGAAACUUAGUUAUUUUCAGUAAUGUGCCUCUUGCAAGGAAACUUGAGGGCUCUGAUGAGGUCAGUUUCAUUUCCAGUAGAGAGCUUUUACCUUCUAUCUCCUUCUUGAGAGAGGAAAGGUCCCUCUGACCUGGCAGCAGUGCCACAGGCCUGGGGCUGAAGAUGUCAGGGGAACUGGGGCCAAUAAGGUUCUUCUCAUGCCAUACUGGGUUGUCCCAUGUUUUGUCUUAGAAUAAGCUAUAAGCAAGUCUAUGCCAGUGAACAUAACUCAGAUCACAACAUUUGUUGAACCAGUGAGUCAGAAAAUGGCUCAAGGCAGAGCUGACCAGCGGGGAGUUAAGCAUGAUGAAGUAGAAAACGUCGUCAGCUCGCGGCAGGAACAUGGGCCUUCUCCUUCUCUACUACAUAGUAGCUGGGUGACCCUCAGCCUCAAUCUCUCUUUCCAGCUCUGACAUAUUUGGCAGUUUCUGGUAGGAGGAGAAAAGAGCUUGCAAAACACUGAUAGAUGUUAUUUUAUUUUAUUUUAUUUUUAAAGAGAUGCUUGUGAAAGACUCUAUGUGCAAGGAAAUCUGGGAAUGGGAUUUUUUUUCUUUACCCCAACCCAGUUUUCCCAACUUUGGCACUCUGGACAUUUUGGGUUUUAUUAUGGGGACUAUUCAUUGUAGGAUGCUUUGCAACAUCACUGACAUAUACCCACUAGUACCAGUGGCAUCAACUCCCUUCUCUAAUAUGUCUCCAGACAUUGCCAGAUGGUCCCGGGGGACAAAAUCACCGCCAGUUGAGAACUGCAGCUCCUCAAUUGCAUUCCCACCCAAAACUGAUGGAUUCUUUAGAAUAAGAGAGCUGAGAGUUACAGUAGGAAGUGAUAGAAAGCUGGCACAGAGGAUCCCUCCACUCGUGUGACCUAAGGAUGGGGAACUCAGAGAAGUUAGAAGUACUUGAGGCCUGAAGGCAGGAAACCAGCAUUGAAGUCUCUGCAUUAUCACUGGCUGUGUGAGCUUCAUUAUCCCACUUAACUUCUCUGAUCCUCAGGGUCCUCAUGAAGCUAAAAAAUGCCAUACCUCUCCUCCAUGAACUAACUUCCUCCCAUCCUUCUUCAUGUUCACAUGCACACUCCCACAAGGUUGUUAGGAGGAUUAAAAGAAAUGCAUGUGAAGGAUGCUGUAAAUUAAAAGUGUAGGGCAAGUGCAUGCUAUUAGCUAUCACUCUAAAGAUUUAUUUUUUCCCCCAUAAAAGCAAAGAAAAGGAACUUCUAUUCCUGGAUUUUUUUUUUUUUUUUUUGUCAGCAGUGGUAAUGGUGACCUCACAGGUACCACCACAGCAGUAAUGAAAACAAGCCAUGAGCCACCCUCUGGGAGUACCACACAGUGAUAGCUGCCAGAUUGAAUUCUACUAGGCUGGAGUUAGUUGGCAUUCUCUAGUAUACACAGAAGCCCCUUCAAAGAAGCUACCACAGUGUUGGGCAAAGGCAAGAAUAUCCCAUUUUGCCAUUCACACACAUUGAAGAACUUGGCCCUAUGCUGCCUCUCUUCCUCAAGGCCACCAACGUAACCUGGAAGAUGUCCCUGUGACACUUGUCUCCAGCAGAGACCUUUGGAACUAAGGAAGGCUGCUAAAGUCCUGAUGGUUUCCUCAGGCCAAGGGUGGGUGUCUCUUCUAAAGCCUCAGACCAGGCCCAGAUCAGGCUGGGUCCUCUGAUGUGAACCACACGGUAGAGUCCUGGGAAUGUUCACACCUACUUAACAUCCUAGCAAACAGAAGAGACACCUGGUGAUAGUCCAGGAAACUCAGUUAGCUCAAAAUCAACCUGGAUUUUUUUGGAAAAUUCUAAGACCAAAGGGUCAGAUUCAGGUUAGAAGAAAUAACAUCCCUGAUGCUUGUAAAUGCUUUGAGUUAUGGACUACUUUCUCAUCCUUCGAGGAGAGUAUCCAAUAGUGGUCAAGGCACUCUUUCUGAACCCUGGGUGCACACUCUGGCCCUGGUCCUCACUUGUUCUGUGUCUGUGGGCAGCCAGUAGGUGCUGUGUAAAUGUCAGCAGCUCUGCUCGGUGUGCUGCUUGGUCCUCACAGCGAGCCUGGAGGUUGGGGGAAGGUCACCUUCACACUGUAGGUGUAGAAUCUGAACUUCAGACAAGAGCAUCCCCACACAGCACACCCACAUCCCUUUGCUCUACCCGUCCUUUUAGGUCACUCUUGUUUCUCUCUCUGUUAUCUAAAUGCCAAUCUGUCCCUCGAAGUCUGUUCAAAUGCUACCUCCUCAAUGAAUUCUGCCUCCAGAGUAGAAUGAAUCUCAGCUUCCUCUAAGCCCCAUAGCACUUUGUUGGUGUCUCUAUUACAUGGUGACACUCACUUGGGCCACAGUAGGCAAGAAAAGGCCCAAGAUAAAGACAUAAUACACAUCAGAGUAUGAUCAAGGCCAGAGAGAGAAGCCAGGUGCAGUUCAAAGGAAGGAAAUCUUGCUCUGUGUUUCUCCUGACAGUCAUAACAUGUCUGGGUACCUUUGAAAGCCCUCACCUCUUCUGGCUUGAAUCAAAACUAACUCCAUCUAUUCCGGGUCCCUUCCCACACUGAGCAUCCAGGGAAGGAACUGUGUGACUUCACCUCCACAUCCCCCUCACUAUGUGGCCCACUGAGGGGCCAAAGUUUGCAGGGGUUUUAAAAAGGCGUCUGAUACUGAACUGAGAAGACUUUGUUGCUGGCGGGUGAUGGUGACGGAUGAUGGUGAUGGUGACGAAGAUGAUGUUGAUAACAGGGAGGUUAUCUGAACCGAAACCCAGCCGUCACGAAGGGCGAUGUGCUCACCGUGUUUCACUAUGACUGAGUGAACGACAAGAGUGCAGCGAAUCAGACCUAGAAACGGAGCCCACUCACUGCAACCUGAAAAGAAAUUGGGAAAUGGAAAAGGCCUAUGGGCGGAGAGCACCACGUCUGCUUGAGCCCAAUCUGCAGAUUAAUGUGGCAGAGGCACAGAGAAACACCGUCUUACCCUGACCAUUCAAGGAUGUAACUUUCAGCUAGGUGGGAUGGCGAACACCUGUAAUUCCAGCUAAUUGAGAGGAUGAGGCAGGAGGACCGCAAGUUAGAGCUGGGGAUACAGCUCAUUCCCAAGCAUGUGUGAAUCUCUGGGUUCAAUUCCCAGUAUUAAAAAAAAAGAAAGAAAGAAAUUGGGGCUGAGGGUGGAGUACAAACAUGAGGCACUGGGUUUAAUUCCCAGGGCUGUCCCUCCCAGAUUAAUUUUUUUUUAAAUUAUUGAUGAAGCUCUAUUAUUAUUCUCCAUUGAAGAUGAUGUAGAAAAUAUCCAAAAACAUAGAUAAGAGGGAAGAUCUUAUUUCAGGGAGUUGAAUACUAUCUGAAUUCAUUGCAUUUUCCUUGUUCUACCUGUCUGAUUUUAGGUAGCUAAGAUUAUGAUUCAUAUAUUAAAAUAUUAAUUUACUUUUUGUAUAGAAAACACAUGUGCAAGGAAUAAGAUUCAAUAGGUGCAAAAGGACUGGCAAUGAGGAGUCAGUCUCCCUCCCACCCCUGACACCCACCACCCAGCUUUCCCCAAGUCUUGAGUAAAUCCCUCCAGAGGAGUCCUAGGCCUGCCAUUGUAUGUUUCUGGAGAGAGUUAAUAGUCCUAAUCCCUUCAAGGUUCUUAAGAACUAAAAAUUGCCUACAAGAAGAAAACAUCGCUAAUGCAAUAUAGCUGUGUUGAUAAAAGACACAAUUAUAUUGCCUCCAUACCAGUUAUAUAACCACAAUUAUAUAGUGCAACUCUUUCUAAAUAAUGUUCCCAACUGACAGCAGUAGUUGGAGGUACCCAACCAAAACAUAUUCUCUUGAAAAGCCUCUGUCCCAAAGAUUACUUAGAGAGACCACUAAUGGUGGUUCUGAGAGUGCCAACAGAGAUUUGUCUGUAGGUCUCUGAGUUGAAGUGACUAAGAUGUGCAUCCCCAGCCCAGGCCCCUAUGGCAGGUUCCCCUUCUCCCUAGAGCAGACCUGGCAACAAGGACUUCUCACCUUGUUCUGCCCUGGGGUGUGUGGGCAGGGUGGGUGGGGGAAUUCCAGUUCAAAGGAGGCAGUUUAAAGAAAGUCAUUUCCAUAAAAUCUUGCUUAAAAUAGAGAAAACCAUUUUAUACAUAACCAGACUCUGACCUCUACAAACUUAUCCCCUCCCCUCGUCCCACACGCAUGUGCAGGCAUAUGGAGAAGUGGGGAGUGGAAUGCAAGCUCUCCUUGAGAUCCUGGGCUGCCUGUGGACUUAACAUUGCCACAGAUCCUCCAACCCACUACCUCAGUGUGGUCUCAUCCCCAGCAGGCAGUUUCAAGAGGUUUUCAGGAAUUACUACUCAAACCUUCAAAUAAAUGGUCCCUUCACUCAAAGGGGGAGACGAGGGGGAGAGGAGGGUCAUAGGUAGACUAUUGUAAUGUCUUCCUAAGUGUUGUUGGGGGUGGUCGGGGGGUGACUUAUUGUGUAGCAGACCGUUGUCCUCCGCAAACGAAUGUAAACCUUCCGUACUGACGUAGUUGAGGUCAACAGGGACUUGACGUUGACUACCCGGAGUGCACGACGUCGGUUGUCAAACGGAAGUGGGUGAGGGGAGAGACUUUGCUUGGAAAGAGACCCUUUUGUUCUUUGGAUGCACGGUAGGACUCACUCUCUGAUUGUCCUCGGCACAGGGACCUUAGCGUAGGGUCCGCACCGUCCGUUCUCGUGUGCGACCCCCUAAAUUUUGUCGUUCAAUUCGAAGUUCGUAGAGACCUCUCUUGAAAACUCGGUUUUCUGAGUUCACAAGUCUAGACUUCAUAACAGUGUCCGUAACUCAAGAGUUAUACACGGCAUCUUCCGUAGUACGACGACAGAGGAAAUCGUUUUGAAACGUUGAGGGGGGAGUAAGACUGAAUAAAUGAGUCGUGAUAAGAUAUCCGUCUAAAUACAAAGGGGUUUCUUCAGAUACAGGAUUAGGGGGUUUGGGCACUUGUACAGUAAAACGUACCGUUAAUUUCAACGUCUACCUUAACUCGAAGGACGUCGAUUAAAAUUUUACCCUUUUAGACACCUAAUAGACGUACAGAGUCACAUUAAUGUUUCCAGACAUUUGUCCCUUCUCUUCUCAGUCUGGGUCUCACCAGGCCUUUUGAGAAAGACUCUCUCUGCCGUUACCAGCUUUGAAGAUGAGGGAAGGGGCCCAUAAGCCAAGGAAUACAGGCAUCCUUUGCAUUCUAGAAAAUAUAAGAACAUUGAUGGUCUCCUAUAACUUCCUGGAUUUUAGCAGUGUGAGACCCAUGUCAGACUUCUGACCUCCAGUACUGUAGGAUGAUGAAGUUGUGUUGUUACAGCAGCAAUUGGAAACCCAUACAGCUACUAUGUCAGACUGGGUACCUAGAACUGAGGGGGCAUUCCUACAACAUGUACUUUGUGCUUUGUAUUCAUCUUCAGGGUCCCACUAGGGAAACUAAAGCCACUUCAACUAUCUAAACAGUUUGGUUCAGGUAAUUGGCUAUAAGAUAUUUGAAGAAGUUGAGAAGCCAACCCAGACAUUAGCAAGAGCAGAAGUUGCUACUCCAGUUGCUAGACUAUGCCAGAUGGACAAAAAGAGGAGGUCAUUCUAUUGGAGUCCAGAGGCCAGGGUCACCUAGUGGAAACUGGACCAUGGUGGGCCUCUUCAGCAGGAGCUAGAACCACGGCGACCAUAGAGCCUGGCUGGAGAAUCUUGCUGAAGAAGAAAGGAAGAGAAAAAUAUAUGUAACUUCUCCCUUCCUUCUACCUCCAGGGUCCUGCCAAUGCUUCCCACACUGCCCAGCUGGAAGUCAGCUGAUGUAGAAGCCAGGAUGUUCAGGGAUCAGCCCCUCUGCAAGGCCCAGCAGAACUGGGGAGAAUAGUGAGUGGGCUAAUGGAUCUGAAGAUGGAGGCACCUCUCUCUUUUCUGCACUGACCACCACAAAUCUUGAAACACAAUGGAAUGUUUAAAAUUUAUAGUCUUAACGUGAGUUCUAGAACCUUCCAUGGUCUGGCCCUUCCCUGACUCCUCUGCCUUCAUCCUAUGUUCUCCCUUCAUUCACAGCACUACCAUGCUGACCUUUUGCUGUGGCAUCAACAUUUCAAAGAAGUCCCUUCUUGAGGGUCCUGUACCUGUCUCAGCCUCUGCAUAAUUCCUCUUCCCCUGCUUCUGCCUUAACUGAUAACUGUUCCCUAUUUCCCUUCCAGAAUGACUGUGGCUUGGUCAGAUGACCCUUUUCACCAUCUAGAAUAGGUCUCCCUCACCUACAUCAACAUCAUCCCCCAUUGUCUUUUCUUCAUAUUCUCUGAAAUGAUCUUGGUUGUGUGCUUACAUAUGUAGCAAAAUCUUCCCUAGACCGUAAGCUUCUUGUGAGUAGGGCUAUUGCCUUGUGACUUGCCAGGUCCUUAUAAGCAGCAUCUAUUAGAUGUUUACCAAAAUCUAUUUCUUUUUGAAAACAAAACAGGGCUUAUUUCAGAUGCCUUUGUAGUUAAGUGUGACUGAGUUUUAGCUAAUGGAACAUGAGUGGAAAUACACGGUGCAGCGGCCAGGUCUGAUGGUGGAAACCAUCCAAGCACACUCCUGCAAGUUUUCCCCUCCUGCCAGAUAAUGUCAAAGCCCUAGGGAACAGUGGAGGCACAAGAUGAAAGAAACUGGGCUUUUGAAUGACUAAGUGCAAGAGAGUUGUCCCAGCAACCUACAUACCCAUCCAGGACUGUUAUGUGCACAAGAAGGAAGUUCUGUGUUGACUCAUUACACUAACCUACCCUAGAGAAAACAGUUCCCUAUGCCAAGAAUAGUACUGGGUCGGUAAUUGGCCCUAAAUGAAUAGUGAUUGAACAAUUGGAUAUUAGACACUUAAUAAUGAGGUGUUCGGUGACCGAGAGUCUUUUCCCACCCUUAGUCCUCCUCUACCAGUUCUCUAAGGACAGGGAAGAAUUCACCUUUAUAUACUCGAUGCCUCCCAUAGUACCUAAACCUGGGUCAAUCCUCAACAGACAUGGGCUGCGGGGUUGCUAGGCAGUAUUAGGGGAACAGUGACUGACAGAGCCGUGUCUAAACCAUGUGUCUUAGCUGCUCUAUACUGGCAUUCUAUACUGUUGGGACUACACGUUUGUGCAGCUCAGCUCUUUAGAGUUUACACAGGGCUUUUCGCUUCAUCCUGCUUCAUGACAACUCUGAAAGGUAAUUAUUAUUAGGAGUUAGACAAUGAAUCUGAGCUCAAAGGGGUUAAGUCUUUUGCUCAAGAGCUUAUUUUUUUAAAUGAUAAAGCUGGCAUUAAUCCAUGGUUCCAAAAUAUUUAUCGAGUGCUUCCAAUGGCCAAGUCCCCUAGGCUGAAACUUCUGCACCUAGUAAGGACUCUAGAAAUUUGAGAACCCAGGGUUGUAGGGAAACUGGAAUUGCCUCCCAAGCUCCGGUGGAGGAAAGGUGUGAGCUGGGACACCGCUGCUGUGUGCCUUAGUGCAUAGUUCUGGGUGGUCUGCCAGACUCCCCUGUGGUCGACAACAUGGCUGUGACCCCCUCCGCAGCUCUCCCACUUGCCCAGGCUAAGGGCCUGGUGCUCUAAGCCUGCCCUUUUCCAUACAUUCUUUUCUUCUCCCUGUGCCAAGAUUUCAGUAGACAAUUUAGAAUGGUGCCCAGCCUGCGUGAAGGGGAUAGGGGAAAGCUCGAGAAGAGUCUUAGGCAUAGGAUUGGAACAGAAGUUUCCGCAGCUGUUAAAUUUACCUAAACUAACCCGACCAGACAAAAUAUGUCGGUAAUAGGUUGGUUGGAAAACUUAGAACUAAAGCCAAGGGGACAUAACUUGUCUAAACAGAGUCUGCAAAGGCCCCCGGAGAGUCACUGGCAGGUUGGAUAUUUGUCAGGGCAAAGAGGGCAAGGGCUGGUGUCUGAAGGGGCUGAUGGAUGAAGAGAAGAGGAGAGGAGAUGACCAGGUCUGCGCAGGGGCUUAGUCUGUUCCAGCCCAGGGACUCGCCUCUACCUGGUAGCCUCUCUCUGUAAAUAAAUCCUGGCUGCUCUUACCACGCAGGACUUCUCACAUUUGAUGCAUCUGAGGUGGGGUGAAAUACAAAUAUGCCUUUGCAUAAUAGCUUUACACCUGGAGCAGCAGAGGACCGGUUUAUUACCUUGGUAAACAAAAGUUAGAAUUCAAGCAAAGUACAAACUUUGCCCAAGGCACUUCUGACAGUGCACCUUGUGUUUGUGAAAUGAACUUGAUAUAUAUAUGAUGUGAAGCAAUGGAAGGCUGGGCCUUUUCCCUCUUUUCCCUUCUCUUUUCUUUUAUCUUUUUCUCUCUUCUUUUUUUUUUUUUUUUUCCUCUUGUCUAAUUUGCAAGGUUUAAAAGUUCAUGGGGGAUGGGGGUAGGAGAGAGAGCGAGAGAGAGGAGAAGAGGGGAGAAGUUGGGGGAAUUUACUUUGGCUCCGGCUUUUUCCAGCAUUUUGAAAAAUCACACCAUUUAGUGUGAAAAAAAAAAUGUGAGCUGAUAUAUAUUCUCUUCCAGCGAUAAUGUACUCCUUGCUGCUCUCAGUGACAAUUAGCGUUUGUGAGUGGGAGACAGGGUAAAUCAGUUUGGGAAACACACAGAGGAACCAGGGUUUGCAUUAAAUCUAACUUCAACAUUUAAAAAAAUGAUAAAUAUUUAUUCAGUGUCAGUUUUGUGCCAAGCACAGAACUAUGACCUUUCCAUAAUCAUUAUUUCAUGUAGUCUUCACAGACCACAUGAAGUAGAGAUUAUUGAUCCAAAUGUUCAUUUUACAAGUAAGGAAACUGAGGCUGUGGUUACUGAAGUGAAUCAGGCCCCAGUUUUCUAAUUCCAAGUUCAGGCUUUUCUGCACUGAUCUCUACCCUCUACUUGGAGUCAUGGACUCUGUGGGUGUCUGGGUCACUUUGUUUCCCUUUCUUGCAACUCCCAUCUAUUUUUCUACCUUGGUAAUUGACUGCACUUGUAAAAACAAUCCGUCUUCUCUGUUCUUUGGUACAUGUCUGCUCAGAGGAUUUCCUUGCUCUUCAUAGUCACCUGGCAUCUGGGCCACCCUCACCAGCAGUCAGCCCUGUGCGCAGGAGCUGAAGCACGUGAAACAGAUUUUCCUUCAAAACACACGUCAGCUUGAAAGCAGAGGCAGCGAUAAGGAAGCAAAGGCACAUCUCAUGUUCGGUUGGCUCAACAAAUACCUCUGCGUUCUCCCAUCCCCAGCUCGAAUAAAUCAGAUAAACCUCAGCAAAAGCAUCUGAGAGUUUUGGAUUCUUUUCCAAAACAAGCCUUUGAACCUGAAGAACUUUGCCCAUUUCUACGUGUUCACUACUCAAAUGUUCAGCUGGGGCUUGCCCAGCUGAAUGGCUCAGGUCGGUAAAAUUUUAACUCUUUCAUCCACAGAUGGAUUCCCAAUCCUUUUAAAACAAGAGAGAACUCAUUAGGCUUGUUUUUUCAAAGAAAUCUCAAUGGAUGUGUCAACUUGUGCCUGUCUCCAUAGACGAAGGAUUCCUUGAGGGAACACAUUAAACUGAAGUUGGACAGUGGUGAUGUCAUUAAGGCAUUGUCAACUCAGCAGUUUCAGGGCACCAGAACUGUGGAUAUUUGUGCUUUGCAGGAUUUCAAGAGAAAACCCAGUCUCCCUCCUCCGACUCCCCUUCCAAUUCCAUCCCCUCCCACUGAUGCAUCUUUAAUGCACUCCUUGAGAAUUGCUUUGGUUUUAUUUAUUGCAAGCUUUAAAAAUAUUGUUGGAACAUUAAUACUAUUGCAAUGGGAAAGAUUUCAGUUGUCAAUGGAUUAAACACAAUUCCUGGCUGGAGCCCUAGAGGAAAAAGGCAUGGGGAUUUCUGAGCUGGGAGACAGAACUUGCUCAAGAAUGCUUGCUUUGGAGACUCAGCUCUCAAAACCUGGGGGACCCUCUCAUGGAAUUUUAGCUCUUCAAUUAACUGUAAAGAGCACCUAACUCAACCCCUUUCUUUUACAGAAGAGAAAACCAAGGCUCAAGCAAGACCAACGUUUGUUCAACCAGCCAAGCAGCAGAUCUCCACAGCUCCUUGGCCAGGGCUCACAGCUCUCCCAGGCAGCCUAUCCAACCUGGAAACAGCGAUUAUAAGACUAAAAACCAGCCCUUCAUCUUGGUGUGAAUCCACUUAGCCUGGCUUUUUAUUACCACUUGUCAAUAAAUCUCCAUUAAUUGAGCCUAUGGAGAGAUGUUUACCCCAAGAAAAAAGUGGAGAAACCUGGAACACUUCCCAAACAUUGACUGGAAAACAUAUCCAAGGUUCAGAGAUCUUAGUGUAUCUUUCUUUACAUGGUUAUGAUUCUAGACCAAAUAAGCAAUGCUUUGAAAGAAAUCUAUAUUCCUUUCCUACUUUGAAUCUUGCUCUCAUCAACUUUUAAAAUUUCCUGUCUGGUGACUCUAAGGUACCAUGGGUCCCUGUCAUUGGGAAGUGCAGUUACCCAAUGACUGAGUUCUCUAUUGAAGUAACUGGGAGGGUGCUGGGAUAUUUAUUAGGGCUAGAAGGAAGCUUAGUGAGGCUCUGGACCAUAUGCCUCAGUUUACAGAUGAGCGGGGUAGGCCUGAGAGAGGUUAAGUUGCUCAUCACAUUAACGGACAACAAACCAUGGAUCUGGCCAGCCUUGCAAAAGGGUCCUUCCAUUCAACAAUUAUUAAGUGUCUCCCUUUGUAGUAAAUCCUCCAGCAAUUUUUACAAAAAAUAAAAAAUAGAAAUAAAUGGAUUGUGUCCAAUUCCAGGAGCUGAAUGUUUGUUGUUGCCCAGGCUUAGUUAAUCCCCAGGUAUUGACAUGAGGGAUGGAUCAUGAGUUAUCCUCACCAUCUUUUGUUUUACGGAAAGACGAGUACAUAGAA
rnacentral:lncRNA from 1 species